rnacentral:lncRNA from 1 species
UUUUUUUUUUCCUUUUAAGUUUAAAAUAUCCAUGCAGAGAGAAAUGAAAGGUCUGGAACUUUACAGUUAAAAUCAUUUUCCUAAUCUUCGUUCAAUUGAUUAAACAAAAUUUUCUUUAAUACUCAAUUUGUAAUAUGGAUGAUUCAUUCCAAUUUUGAUCCUUGUUAUUUGACUUAUAAAAGUGAGAGAUGCUUCAUUUUUAUUUUUAUUUUGCUUUCAGCAGCAAAUUCAAGAUAUCUUGAUAUAUAUAUAUAUUAUAUAUAUAUAUAUAUAUAUAUAUAUAUAUAUAUAUAUAUAUAUAUAUAUAUAUAUAUAUAUAGUAUAGUAUAUAUAUAUAUAUAUCUAUAUAUAUAUAUAUUAUAUAUAUAUAUUUAUUAUAUAUAUAUAUUAAAGAUUGUAACUAAUUGUCUACCUAUGAUGGCCUAUAGUCAUCUAGGCAUGAACAAGUUUGUAUUCAAAUAAGUAAAUCAUCCAACCUGUAAACCAAAUUAAUUAAUCUCAAUGUCAUAUCUUUCAUCAUAUGAUUCAGGACCACUAAACAAAAACAUAUAAAACUUUGUUUACAAGUGUUAAAUGGUAACAAAAAAAUAGAGAUAUAAGAAAAGUCAAAGAGCAAAAAAUAGAGAGAAAAUUGGACUAUAAGUAAAGGUUAACAUCUCCAUUUCAAUCCCAAGAACCACCAUACUUUGUUAUUGAGAUCUCAUGUGCUUUUUGUAACCCCUCCAUAUGCUUGCACACUCUCAUGCAUACAUAAAUAUAGGUAUAAAGAAAAAGAGAAUGAGAUUCCAUACAGAUAAUAAAGUGAAUGGACCCAAUGAUUGAUCUUUUUCCUUACAUUUUUACCUUUCUUAUCCAUCACUCCAACACUAACCUUCAGAAGCCACAUAUCAACCUUCAUACUUCAAAUAUAUAAAAGUUACUUACAAGAAAAACAUGAUUUAUGGUAUAAUAUCUCACCCAACGAAUCAUCCUUCAAGCUUCCUUGAUUCUUCCUCCAUGAUUAAACAUUUUUAAUGAAUAUACACUUUUGGUCUAAAAUAAUUUUAUAUCUACCUUCAAGAACACGGAUUGCAAUUUGCUGCAGUCACACAGUCUCGGCAAUCAUGCAGUCAAGUUUGUUUGACCAUCCGAUCAAAAUCAGACAAUUUUUAUUUUAAAUUAGCAUUUUUUAAUUAUAAUAUAAAAAACAAUUUUAUUUUUUAGAAUCGUGUCAUUAAGAUCAAACGAUUUAUAAUACAAUGAUUGGUUGAAUCCAUCGAAAAUUGACCGCAAAAAAUCUAUUUUCUAAGAACAUAUUAUCAUAUAUUGUCGUGUCAAUCUAUUUUAUGGUUGAAAAAGUUAUUUCAAAAAUACUAAAUUUUCAAUAGACAUCAACAUAAACCUAAUUUACAUUGACGAUGCAUAUCAACUCAUAUUCUCAUAUACUUUAAUAUGAAUCAUAUAUCUAUUACACAUAAUUAAAAAGACUAAUCAUUCAAAUAAAUAAAAAAACACAACAGACAACAAAAUUGUUUUUCAAAAUAUACAAUAGAAUUUGAAUCUAAAACCUUUAAUUUAACUCGAAAAUAAAAUUGUCAUCUCAUUCAUAAUUCAAACAUGAUUAUAACUUUAUUAUGAAUAAUUCAUUAAUUAAUAUUUAAUGACAUUCAUCACCUUUUGACACACUGCCAAAGUGUCGAAAAAAUGAUGGAAUCAUCCCUCGUGGUUUAGUUUCCAAAAAGCAAUGCCCUUCACAAGAGGUUGUAUGGCAGAUCCCCACCUUCCCAUGUUACAACUUCCCCUCUUACCUGUCCCUACGUUCCCUACAUUUUAUAAAACCUCUCACCUCCCUCUCUUCCCUCUCCCUCCAAUCUCUCUCUCUCUCUCUCUUCACAUUACUCACACACUUUUCAUAAUGUGUAGCUCUAAGGCUAAAGAAACUAUAGUCCUAGAAUCUUCCACAACACCUCCUCAUGUUUCUAGAAUCAAUGGAAGACAAGUACUUCAACCUACAUGCAACCAUGUUCUUGUUCCAAAUCUUGAAAGAAGAAACUCAAUGAAAAAACUUACAUCAAAAUCACUUUUUUCACCACCACUUCCAAACAAGACUUCUACUACUACUACUACUACUUCAUUGUCACCACCAAUUUCUCCAAAGCCAAAAUCUCCUACUAGACCAUUCUUAGCUAUAAAGAGAGGAAAUGACAACAAUGGAAUGAACUCAAGUUGUGAAAAGAUUGUUAUACCAAAAAACACAAUGAAAACUCCAUGUUUAGAGAGAAAGAAAUCAAAGAGUUUCAAAGAAGGGUCUUAUGGUGUUGAAGCUUCUUUGAGUUAUUCUUCUUCUUCGAUCACUGAUUCUCCAGGAAGUAUAGCGGCAGGGAGAAGGGAACAGAUGGCACUUCAACAGGCACAAAGGAAAAUGAAGAUUGCUCAUUAUGGAAGAUCGAAGUCUGCGAAAUUUGAAAGAGUUUUUCCUAUUGAUCCUUCAAGUGCUCUUGAUUUAAAGACUAGUAAUGAAGAGGAGAAGAGGUGCAGCUUUAUCACAGCCAAUUCAGGUAAUUUCGUAGUAAAUAAUUUGAUACAAGUUCUUAUAUACCCUUUUUGCUUUAUCUUAAUGUUAAUCUAUAUGUCUCUUUUGAUGAAUAGAUCCUAUCUAUAUUGCUUAUCAUGAUGAAGAAUGGGGAGUUCCUGUUCAUGAUGACAAGUAAGCUCCUAUUUUUCUAUCUCUCUCACAGAUACGGACAUCUGACACACACCAACACGUCAACAACAAUUGUUUGAGAAAACGAAUAUUUAAAUGUAAUUACAUGUAUGUGUUUCAUGUCAAUAUUGAAUACUAACACAUGUUAGAUAUCAGACACAUCUUUAAUAUAAUUACAUGAACUGACACAUGUCAGUCAUGGACAUCUGACACACAGUAACACGUUGAUUCUGAUAGUUUGACAAAAAGACUAUUUUAAUGUAAUUACAUGUGUAUGUGUUUUGUUCGUGUCAGAUACAAAUACGUGUUAGAUAUGAGAUAUCGAACACGUAUUCAAUCUGAAAUAUCGUGUCAGAUAAUAAUACAUGUCAGAUAUCAAACAUGCUUACAAUAUGAAUACGAAGGAUCAGUUAUCUACAAACACACAUAAACUAAUUGCAACAAAAAUGAAUUUGCUGAGACAAAUGAUGAAGACUAACAAAAACCAUAUGUUAUUGUCCAUAAUUCAGGAUGUUGUUUGAACUUCUAAUUCUAAGUGGUGCUCAAGUUGGAUCUGAUUGGACCUCAACCUUAAAAAAACGCCUAGAUUUCAGGUUUGAUUCUGCUAAAAGCCAUUCAUAUGAAUAAACAUAAACAUUUUUUUAUUUUAUUUCUUGUUUUUGAUGGAACUAAUAAUAAUUUUUAAAUUUAUGUACAGGGUUGCAUUUUCAGAAUUUGAUGCAGAAAUUGUGGCCAACUUCACUGAUAAACAAAUGAUAUCUAUUAGUUCAGAAUAUGGCAUUGAUAUAAGCAAAGUUAGAGGAGUUGUUGACAAUGCUAACCAAAUUUUACAAGUUAAAAAAGUGUUUGGUUCAUUUGACAAAUACAUAUGGGGAUUUGUGAACCAAAAACCAAUCUCAACUCAAUACAAAUUUGGCCACAAGAUUCCAGUGAAGACAUCAAAAUCAGAAAGCAUAAGCAAAGACAUGAUUAGGAGAGGUUUUAGGUUUGUUGGUCCAACAGUGGUUCAUUCAUUUAUGCAGGCAGCUGGCCUAACAAAUGAUCACUUAAUCACUUGCCAUAGGCACUUGCAAUGCACUUUCUUGGAAGCUAUGUAAGAGAUUGUUAAUUGACCCUACAAGAGCUCAAGAGAUGGAUUGAAAGUAAUGUAAUUCAAUGUGCUAACUAUAGUUUACUUCAUGUUAAUUGUUGUGUAUAGUAUUAGAGAUAGGUUUAAAAGUUUUUCUUUUUCUUUCUGAUUUGUGAGUUGUUGUGAGAAUUUUAAUGAUAAGUUUGAGUGUGCUAAAGCUUUUUCAUUUGCAUAAUUCAAGAAGAAAAAGGUUUUGGAUGGUCAUUUUGCGCGUUAACUCUCUCACGCAUAAUCGUUUUAAGUUUUUUAAGAUUCAGUGUUAGUUAGUUACGAUUCAACAGUUGAAAAAUGAAUAGGAUCCUAUUUAGACAGGUUUAACAAUGACAAAUAUUUUUUGAAAGUCAUGUGCGGUAGUCCACCUUACACAUCCUCAAGACGACUUUAGUGUCACGCAUUUUUUAAUCUCAAAUGCUUGAAGAUUGUAUAAAGUUGAUUUUUAUUGUGUGUAAUCUGAAUCGGCUAAUCUCAAACUUAAGCCCAAUGCAAUAAUUGUGUCGCACAUUUUUCAAUCAUCUGAUCUCAAAUUAACAACUAAAAUCAUUUAAAGUGAAUAUAAACCCUUAGAUAUCAGAUUAGUGAUCACAACGAGAUAAUUUACUGCGUGUAAAAAUGAAUGCAUGAGAGAAUCCAAAUCCAUCUGAUCUCAAAUUAACGAUCAAAAUUAUUUAAAGUGAACGUGAACCAUCUGAUCUCAGAUUAACGAUCAAGACGAGACCGUUAUAAGUCCGAACACGAGAGAAUCGAGAUCCUAUAAUAAGUGGUGGGAGUGUUAGGGAACAGUCAGCAAGUGCAUGUGCAAAUGGGAGACAAUGGCAUGUGUGGUGUCAGUUUGCUUUGCAAAAGACCAUGUGACCCAUCAAAACUUUGCAUUAUUUGGUUUCCUUUAACAGGCUGUGUGGGAUACUAGUUGAAGGGUAUGUAGGGACCAAUGUAACAUUUCUCUUUGCUUUGUUUAUCAAGUUUUGUUAUUUUAUCUUUAUUGUAUUCUUCUAACUUUUUGGCUUCAGUGAAUAUGAUAUUAAUAUAUUAUACACUUUUCCAAUAUAUUUUGGACUUGGUGUGGAUCUUUUGAGUGGCCUUCAAUUCAUUUCUCAUGUGCUUAUGUACUAUUUCAUUGUUACUACUAACUUUAUAUAUUACUUUUUCUAUUUUUUUUAUAACUUGUUAAGAUAAGUAUAUCAUAUCUUCUCCCAUGUGGCCAUUUCACUUUCUUUCUUGUAAUUGGUUACAACAACAUUGAAUAUGCUUUAAACUAAUUAAUGAUUGUAGCUAUUGUUGGGGGUAGUAUUUAUCAUCGUUACAUUGCACAUGCAUAGAAGAAACUACUUGCAAAUGUAUAAGAAUCACUAACAUUAAUUUUCUCAACUGAACAAAAGUGUAACAGAAUAGAUAGCUAGUAUGUUAUAGAUGAAGUAAGAAAAGUGUAGGUGUGUUGCGGUCACUUAUAUAACACUCGUACAACAUGUAUAAAAAAUAAAUACAUAUCGAAAAAGUUAUAUCAGUGUUCUCAAAAAUAUGAUUUUUUCUGUUUCAAUAUUUUAUAUAAUUACAUUCAAUUUUUUUAUUUUUUAGAAUUAUUUAAAUGUCAACGUGUCAAUCUUAACGUCUAGUUCCGUGUCAGAAAACAAUAUUAUAACUCUUACUAUUAAUGGAGUUAGUUACAUGAAUAUAAAACAAAGUGUGUUAUUGAGAAUUAGAUUAGUAUCUUAUAACAGACUAUUUUUAUACAAGUCUUUCUAAACGAUUCUCUAGCAAACACCAAAAAGAAAAGAAAAAUAUUUCAUGUUAGUUGUCAAUCCAUGUGCCUCUCACAUUCUCUGUGCUUCUAAUAAGCACCAUUGGUCAUUUCUUGGCUCAAUUUGAUUGUUUUUCUGACAUUUUCUAACUUUCAGGUUAAGCAAGUAUAAAAAACUACAAAUAAAGAACUUUCAUCAUACUAGAAGAGAAAAAUAAGGAAUAUUCUUUUGUUUCUGAAGGAGACAUGGAUGCAAAAUUUUCGCAAGUUUUUCAUAUUAAUAUAUAAAGUUCCCACCUUUCAUGAAUUCCCCAUCUUCAUGCUGAAGCACUUGCCAAUUUGUUAGGGAUGAAUAUGUAUAACACAAAGUUUGUAUACUCCAUUCAUUCAACCUCGAAAGUGUAAUUGACUUGUUAUUGAUAAGCCAAACAUGUUUUUAAUUUAUUUUAUUGAAUAGUUAACUUCGAAUUUUUUUUAAAUAAAAAACAUUUUCAAAUUAUAUUUUAAAAUAAUCAAUAUUACAAAUAAUUUAUCAAAUUAGUCAUAUUUCAAACAAACAAAAAAUUGUUGACAAGAAGAGUAACCACUAUGAGUAGCGCGUGCAUAUAAAAUUUGAAAGAAAACGUCAUACCCUAUGGCGACUGCAAGUGGCGCUGCAUGCAUCUUCUAGAAGGAUGCGCCACAGGCAGUGGCUACUGCUUUAUUUAGGAUUUCUAUAAAUAUUGCAUCCUCUCUCCAUCAUUUUUCACACAUCUUCUAAAUCUCAUCAAUAUUUCUUUAAAAUGUCUUCAUAUAUGUGUUCUUAUAUUCACAAGAGAAAUAACAAUUUAUUUGUUCGGCAGUAAAACUCCGAUGAAGAUUCGACUCUGGAACACAGAGACGUCUGAGCAUCUAAAUAGGAGUUUGAUAUGUUGGUUAGAUUAAUACAUUGUAAAGGGUGAAAAAAGCAGAAGAAUUUAAAGGCUAGUUACAAUGUAUAACAACAAUGGAGAAAGUCGUUUAUGGGACUCAAUUAAAACUGACAGAGAUGUUCGCAUUAUGAUGCACAUUUCUGAGAAAAUUGUCCGGAUGGUUGUAACCUUAAUCAUCUUCAUAUCCGCAUGGUCCCUCAUUUCAUUGGCAUGGGUAUGGUUCAAUACAAGAGAACGGGUAUCUUGGAUUCAAAUCUUUGUGCUUAUUGUUAAUUCCUUAGGAUUGGCAUUAAUUUUGUAAAACAAAUAAUGUAAUCAUCUCUGUUGUUUUAAUAUGUUGGGUUGAAGAAGUUCAACAUCUGGACCAACAUGUCAUGUACGAUGUCACACGACAUCACUGUGACAUCGUACAUGGUGAAAACAUAUUAAUUAUUCAGUAUUUAUUCUGGGUUAGUAAGGAUAUUUGGUGAAUAUCCUAACUCCCAUGUGAGUCUUGAAGACUCAAUCAGAAGAUAUAUAGGCUCAAAGUAAGGAGAUAUAUAUGGAGAGAUUUUAGGGAUUGAAGACCUUGUUUGUAGCCAGAAUUUUUCUGCUGAAAGUUGUAACAGCAAAGAAACAAGUCUGUGCGAUUUCUGAAGGCCCCAAAUCCAGUUGGGUGAUUAGUUAUAAAUAGCUAAUUGUAACCUAGUUUUUGUUAAGCCUCUUAGAAUGAAAAUUUAGGGGUGUGUGUGAGGUAAACCUCCCAAAUCUGUGGAGAGUUACCAUGUGUUUCUCAGUGGUAAAACCUGAGAGUUUUGUAACCCCGCACCCCACCGCCCGCGCCCCCCCCCCCGGCCCCCCCCCCCCCCCCGCCACCCCCCCCCCCCGCCCCCCCCCCCCCUCCCGCAGGCUGAGGCAAAGUGAUUUGUUUCUUGAAUGAAGCUGUGAAGCAAGUUCAAGGUGUGUUAACAUUACAUUGUAUUUGUAGUGAUAGGAAUGGAACCCUGGAGGUUUCUAUCUAGGAGUUCCUAGGUAAUGAUUCAUUGGUAGGAUAAGUGAAGAGUUGUAGAACGGGUGAGUUUAACUCUGAUUAAUACUGCUAAUAGGGAUCUUCUUCCUGAUUGGUAGCCCCCAGAUGUGGUUCAUGUUGGACUGACUGGUUAACAAUUUCCUGUGUUGUUAUCCAUUCUGCAUGAUGUUUAUUUACUGUCAUAAGCUCAGCAGGUAUUCCAGUCAGCUUAUCAAGCUGAUAACAGACCUGGUAUAUAGCCUUCUGUUUGAAUGUCAAUCAGAAAGGUGUGUAACAUUCAUCAGUGGGCAAGCGUAUACUGAAAAAGCAGGUUUAUUUUAGUAUCAGUAUUUAUUUUAGUCUGUUCUAUCAAGAGUAACAGACAUGGCUGAAGGAUCAGUGUGAAACUGUCAAACUGGAUGUUUUGACAGUUGUACUGAAGGCAUGAUACUGAAGUAGAAGACUGAGUUGGUCUUUUACAGUAGCUGCUAACUUAGCACAGUAUUUCCAGGAAAUAACAGAAUCAAACAUAUUUCUGGAUGUCGAACAGAAGGUCAUGACAUUCAUUCCCAAUAGCAAGGUGCUAAAGUGUAGGAAGAUUGGUUUUCAGUUCAGUAUUUUUCUCAGGCUAUUCUUCAGGGAUUCAAUAGCUGAGCUAAAAUCCAGAAAACCACUACUCACCUACAAUUAAUGAACCUAACAACUAGACCUAGUUGUUAGCAUCUAAUAAGUGGAAAUUAGAUUAACAUGUUCAACCUUAAUUCAGGAAAUCACAAGUAAAAGGAANNNNNNNNNNNNNNNNNNNNNNNNNNNNNNNNNNNNNNNNNNNNNNNNNNNNNNNNNNNNNNNNNNNNNNNNNNNNNNNNNNNNNNNNNNNNNNNNNNNNNNNNNNNNNNNNNNNNNNNNNNNNNNNNNNNNNNNNNNNNNNNNNNNNNNNNNNNNNNNNNNNNNNNNNNNNNNNNNNNNNNNNNNNNNNNNNNNNNNNNNNNNNNNNNNNNNNNNNNNNNNNNNNNNNNNNNNNNNNNNNNNNNNNNNNNNNNNNNNNNNNNNNNNNNNNNNNNNNNNNNNNNNNNNNNNNNNNNNNNNNNNNNNNNNNNNNNNNNNNNNNNNNNNNNNNNNNNNNNNNNNNNNNNNNNNNNNNNNNNNNNNNNNNNNNNNNNNNNNNNNNNNNNNNNNNNNNNNNNNNNNNNNNNNNNNNNNNNNNNNNNNNNNNNNNNNNNNNNNNNNNNNNNNNNNNNNNNNNNNNNNNNNNNNNNNNNNNNNNNNNNNNNNNNNNNNNNNNNNNNNNNNNNNNNNNNNNNNNNNNNNNNNNNNNNNNNNNNNNNNNNNNNNNNNNNNNNNNNNNNNNNNNNNNNNNNNNNNNNNNNNNNNNNNNNNNNNNNNNNNNNNNNNNNNNNNNNNNNNNNNNNNNNNNNNNNNNNNNNNNNNNNNNNNNNNNNNNNNNNNNNNNNNNNNNNNNNNNNNNNNNNNNNNNNNNNNNNNNNNNNNNNNNNNNNNNNNNUUCUUCCUGAUGCACAGAACCAGGUGUUCAUCCAUUCUAGGGUGACAUAGAAUGAGAUGUCGUGACAUCUGUGAACGUGUGCAUAUUAGUGGUUAAUAACUAUCUUGCUGUAUUAGUUACAAUGUUAGAUCAAAUGUCAUGACUUGGAGUAGAACAUCUGAAUUCUGACUAAGCCAGAAUUUCAAUUGGUAUCAGAGCAGGCAUCCUGUUCUGCUUCUGGAUGAAAUCCAUGGGUGAUACUUUCUGGUAUAUUGCAAGAAGUUAUGUUGGAACCAGUGGAAGGUUCUGUAAUUUCCAUGAAUGGUCCCUUGAAGUAGGUGGAUGGACUGUUCAUGAGAGAACUGAUGUGUACCUGUAUCUGGAGGUUGGCAAUUGGCCUGUGGAUGGGACAUUUGUGUCAGUAUUGAAUCACAUUCAAACUUGGUAUGGACUUGGAGGGUGAUCUGGUGAAAAGGGUGUUCUUAGGUUGAGUUGUAUUAUGAUUUCCGCUGCAUAAUACCUGGCAAAACUCAACCUCUGAUGUAGUUUUCCCUCAAGUGGAUGAAAGAAUGCUGAAUUCAAGAUUCCAUCAUACUCGAGUGAAGAUGUCAAAGAUACUUGAGUCCCAUAAAGUCCACUCUUCUUGGUAAGAAUCACCUGAUCACUGAUUCUUGUACUCUCCUGGUCAGUGGAUAUGAAAACCUUGAAGGCUUUCAAGGAGGGCCUGCUUCAGGGAGGUUAAACUGAUGUUAUAUGUGAUGUUAGAACAUGUUGUUCAACAAGUAUGCAGCUACUGGUUGAAGAGCAGAUGGUUUUAGGAGUCAAACAAAGGAAUACCUUGGUUUGAAACCUACUCCUGACCUGGAAGAGGAGACAUCUGUGUGAGCUAAGUUGACUAGGAUAGGGUCAACUGUGUGUAUGCUCAAGAAGGUCACUUUUAGAAGUUGGAUCUCUAGAAGUGGAGCUGGUUGAAAAGUGACACGGUGCAAUCCCCGCUGUGUGCCUUAUCCCUGUAGAUUGAUCAGGGUUGGGCAGUUGGUUUCUGAAGUACUAUAGUGUACCAGAAGACAUGUCCCCUGGAUGAUAGAAGUCAAUAAUAGGGCAACCUGACUGCUAUUCCAUUCAAGAGGAUUGGGACCAUGAAUCUUGUUAUUCAAACACCACGAUCAGAAGUGACAGUUCUUUCAAGGAGUGAGAAUAUGAAGAUUCAGAGGUUGGUUGAGGUAGUAUGCUCUGGCAAUGCAUAUCUACUAUGAACUAGUGUUGUUGUCUUUCACUAGUACUCAUGGUCAGCUGAAGUCUGAUUGGCGUGAUUGGAGUAAGUCUAGGUACAACUCAUAGAGUUAGGUGCCACUGGUAGGAAUGGUGUAUGUCAUGUUGAGACAUAUCUGUACAAUGCAUGGAGAUUGGUGUGAAGUUUCCAUGAUUGUUAAUUUGAGGGGGAGUUUUGGUUAACCUCCUCACAUUUGGUCAGCCUAGGGUCUGGUUGGCUGUUGACCUGUGUCACAUGGGUUCUGGUGGUUGUGUGACACACUUGCAAGGAAGAAUUCAUCUCUCUCAUUCCUAAGGGUGAAUUUAAUCUGGGAAGAUUUUCAAAAUUGUCUAGGUGCUUGCAAGCAGAAGAUGUUGACACAAGAAGAGUACUUUCAAAGUAUUCUUAUGGUGGAAGUAUCUGAAGGGAUGAUUGGGAAAGGAUUUAAGAUCAAUGUCUACUUGUGCCAAGUACAAGUGUUUAAUUGAUUAUCCUUGGAGCUCAAGAUAACUGAUGUUCUUAAAGAUGUUGGAACAUCACUUCUUCAAGACCCUGUGCAGAAUCACAGGAAGGAUAGUACAUUGGCUUAUGAUCUAUCUCUUUGGUGGCAGCAAAAGCAUAUGAUCUCUGAAAAGGUUUCCUGGCAAGAAACAUGUUCAGCCUUGGUAUGUACAAGAAGAAGAAGACAUCAUAGUCUUGAUGGUGGUUACUUGGAUCAGUUUAUUUCUGAUCUAGGUAAGGAAGUGCAUUAGCUUAUGCACACUGUGGAGUCAAGAACAAGUGGCAGCAGUCUUGACAUCAUGGAAACAGCCUUGCCUUAGGAUGUGGAAUCCUUGGUAGAGCUGAAGGGUUAGUUUCUAACUGGUCCUUCUGAAGACUCAUACAUCAGAGUGUCUGAUGUCUUUGGAGAAGAAGCAGGGAUUCAUCAAGGUGUGAGCUUGGAUGACUUAACUGCAAACCUGCAGGAUGGAGGUUGUUUACUCAAACUUGGUUCCACAAUCAAGUCUAUGAGAACAUUGAACUCUUGUUCUGUGAAGGGAGGAAGUUCUUUCAAGUGGCAGAAGAAGGAGCUGAAUUCAACAGCUAGAUGUCAAAACACAAUGUUGUGACAUUUGGUUCAACAUCAGAUUCUUAGUUGGUGAAGUGGCACAUCAACUUAAGAUAGAAGGGUCUACAGAGUUGUAGAUUGGGUACUUCAAAAGGAUCGUUCUCAUUGCAGUUCUUAGGAGUUGCUGGUUGGAGAAGAUGUUACAUGUUCAUGUCUUAGAGACCCUAAGCUUUGUUUAACAUGUAACUUGAAGUUCAAAUCUCACUUGGAAGAUCAGAAUAUCUUUGGGAGAAGUCUGAUAAACUUGGGGAGGUCAAAAAGCAGCAUUUGACCUUUUCAUAUGAGGAUUCAUGAAGGAGGUAAUCAACCAGUGGCAUUUGGUCUAUCUCAGAAGUGAGUUCGAAGAAUCAAGAUAAUCCAUAUAUGGCAGCUGAUUAUUCUUGAGGAAAGUCUGAGACAAAUUACUUUUGAGCAGAAAAGUAGUAAGUUGAAGACAAAAGGAGGUGUUUUCUAUUCAUCCCUUGGAGCUUGUGGUAGGAGUUCUGAGCCAUCUAUGGAAGAUUAUCUCUUGUAAUGGGAUGAAAAUGUAUAUGUCCCAAUGUAUGUCUGGGUUCUUCUUGAUCAACCCGGUGACUCAGUGAUAUCUGAAGACUAUCAGAUGGUGUGCCUUGUCCUGUUAUGAAGGAUGUCCCAGCUGAUGUUAGAACAUCUUGUGAAGUGGUCUUCUGUUCUGGUUAGAAGAGAGAUUGACACAGAGUGUGAAUGUGUUCAGCUAAGAGGGUUGAACAGAGGGUGUGCUCUUGAAGACAUGAAGAUGCGUCUUAUGUUUUCCAUUCAUCAAGUGGUCUGGAUUCUCUUUGAAUCAGGAAGUAUGUGAAGGUCCAACUUUGGGGUGUUGGAUAUGCUCAUGUGUGACCUCCAAGUGUCAAGAGGAGAGUAGGGUGUCCAUGACAGGGGGAGUUCUGUCUUUGAAGCUGCAAGUAAUUAUCAAGCUUGUGGUCUUUGUGUACUCAGAUAACUAGGUAUGGCACCUUGUCAGUUAUCAGGAUGCUGUGAUGUAUGUCAAGGCUGAGUGAGCAGAAGAAUGUCUGACCGGAUGUCAUGACAUUGCCCUGGACAAUGCUGCUAAUUCCUUCUGAAUCUUAAAAUCAGUAGGAAUUAUGAAGGUGAUGUGUCAAAUUCUGAUAAAUCAGAAUAAGCCUGAUGGCUACAGCUGUGUGGUACAGGGGGAGUAACCAUCUGCUGAAGUGUGGGAAUUUGACUGUAGCAGUGCCAGAUGUCAAGUCUCUACUGGAGGUAUGACAGGAACCUUGGGAAAUGUUGAAUACUGGCAGAAUGCAGGAAAAAGCCGCGUGGAAUGUUAAGACAUCGCGUGCAACGUGUCUGACUGCAUAUAUGGAAUAGUCUCCAUGCACUGGAACUGCUGUUUUGGAAAAGAAACAGUCAAGAGCUAUAAAAGGUAUUCAAAGAUAGUCUGAGAUUUUGUUGGUGAUUCCCUGACUGUUUCUCAGCAAACAUUAAUGAAUCUUGACCAAGCAUUAAUUCCGACCGUUAAUUCCUAAGCACGAGCUGGACUAUUUAAAGGAUGUAUUAGCCCUCUUCUUCUCACAAGAGAAACACUCCAUUCCUUCAGAAUCAAGGGGUAUGUUAAGGUCUGGGCAAGCUGCGCCUGGAUCUGGUUUUGUGAGGGGUGCCUUUACAAAUGUUUAGCUAAAAAGGGGGAGAGAAAUACAGUCCUGGGUAGUAAACAGAAGCAAGCUAACUGUGGUAGUAAACAGAAGUUGGAGUUGGUGUCAAGCACAAAAGUUGGUGUCAAGCACAAAAUCCACCAACUGGGUGUAUCACUUGUGUCUUGUGAUCUGAGUUAAUAGGACAGUUGUGUCUUGUGAUCUAAGUUACAUUAUCUAUGUACUCAGUAUUACAUAUUCUUCCGGAAGCUCUCCGGUUGAGGGGAAAGGUUCUGGUACAACUGAUCCGUGCACCUCUUCUUCCCCAUGUACACCAUCUUUGGUGCUUGUGGUGGUGGAGCCAAUGACAGAGAUGAAGAGCAUUCCCAAAUUGGGAUGUUUUGUCCAGUGUAUUGUUUAUUUGUUUUAACUAAAAUUUGCCAAAGGGGGAGAUUGUUAAUUCCUUAGGAUUGGCAUUAAUUUUGUAAAACAAAUAAUGUAAUCAUCUCUGUUGUUUUAAUAUGUUGGGUUGAAGAAGUUCAACAUCUGGACCAACAUGUCAUGUACGAUGUCACGACAUCAUGCCUGUGACAUCGUACAUGUGUAGAAAACUGAAUUAAUUAAUUCAGUAUUUAUUCUGGGAUUAGUAAGGAUAUUUGGUGAAUAUCCUAACUCCCAUGUGGAGGUCUUGAAGACUCAAUCAGAAGAUAUAUAGGCUCAAAGUAAGGAGAUAUAUAUGGAGAGAUUUUAGGAUUGAAGACCUUGUUUGUAGCAGAAUUUUUCUGCUGAAGUUGUAACAGCAAAGAACAAGUCUGCUGCGAUUUCUGAAGGCCCAAAUCCAGUUGGGUGAUUAGGUUAUAAAUAGCUAAUUGUAACCUAGUUUUUGUAAGCCUCUUAGAAUGAAAAUUUAGGGGUGUGUGUGAGGUAAACCUCCCAAUCUGUGGGAAGGUUACCAUGUGUUUCUCAGUGGUAAAAGCUGAGAGUAUUUGUAACUCAAAGCCUGUAGGCAAGAGUGAUUUUGUUCUUGAAUGAAGCUGUGAAGCAAGUUCAAGGUGUGUUAACAUUACAUUGUAUUUGUAGUGAUAGGAAUGGAAACUGGAGGUUUCUAUCUAGGAGUUCCUAGGUAUAGAUUGCAUUGGGUAGGGAUUAAGUGAAGAGUUGUAAACGGGUGAGUUUAACUCUGAAUUAAUACUGCUAAUAGUGGAUCUUCUUCCUGGCUUGGUAGCCCCCAGAUGUAGGUCAUGUUGGACUGAACUGGGUUAACAAUUUCCUGUGUUUGUUAUCCUUCUGCAUGUGUUUUUUACUGUCAUAACUCAGCAGGUAUUCCAGUCAGCUUAUCAAGCUGAUAACAGACCUGGUAUAUAGCCUUCUGUUUGAAUGUCAAUCAGAAUGUUGUAACAUUCAUCAGUGACAGCGUAUACUGAAUAACAAGCAGGUUUAUUUUAGUUCAGUAUUUAUUUAAGUCUGUUUUAUUCAAGGAUAACAGACCUGGCUGAAGGAUCAGUGUGAAACUGUCAAACUGGAUGUUUUGACAGUUGAUACUGAAGGCUGAUACUGAAGUAGAGACUAGUUGGUCUUUUACAGUACUGUUAACUUAGCACAGUAUGUUUCCAGGAACAUAACAGAAUCAGCAUAUGUUCUGGAUGUCGAACAGAAGGUCAUGACAUUCAUUCCCAAUAGCAGGUGCUAAAGUGUAGGAAGAUUGGUUUUCAGGUUCAGUAUUUUUCUCAGGCUAUUCUUCAGGGAUUCAAUAGUUGAGCUAAAAUCCAGGAAACCAACUACUAACCUACAAUUAAUGAACCUAACAACUAGCGUAGUUGUUAGCAAUCUAAUAAGUGGAAAUUAGAUUAACAUGUUCAACCUUUAAUUCAGGAAAUACAAGUAAAAGACAAACACACAGGAACAAUGUGACAGAUGAUAACUGUGUUAGAAAACAGAGUGCUAGGAUUGAUCACUGUUGAGUCUUUUACCUGAAUGCACAGAACCAGUGUUCAUCCAUUCUAGGGUGACAUAGAAUGAGAUGUCGUGACAUCUGCGAACGUGUGCAUAUAAGUGGUUAAUAACUAUCUUGUGUAUUAGUUACAAUGUUAGAUCAGAUGUCAUGACUUGGAGUAGAACAUCUGAAUUCUGACUAAGCCAGAAUUUCACUUAUACCUAGUGGAAACUAGGGUUUCCUAGCAGCUUGAGGUUGCUCAGUAAACCAAACCCUAAUUGGAGGUAUCUCUUGAUGCAUGUGUAUGUGCUAGACAUUGAAGAUUCAAUUAUGGCUUCUUGAUGAAGAAAAACUCUAGUUUGGGAUUUCCACUUGAUCAUGGUCUCAUAAACCCUAAUUAUGGCUAUCACUCAUUGUGUGUGCACCUAACCCUAAUUUCAUCUGAUUAUUCAUCAUCCAUUGUGUAUGCUUCACUUGUUUGACCAAGAUUCAUUCAAUAACCACUUGUUCGUGGUCUAUUAUGGGGGGUUUCUUUGGUUUGAUUAGCAUUCAUUUCAUGGCCUUACAUGGUCAUCUUUUGCUUGAUGGUAUCUAUUAAGUUCAAGCCCAUGACAUCAGAACUUUCUUUUGAUUUCUUUCAUUCAUGGUAUUUCAUUUGAUAAUUUCCUCAUUCUUAGCCCAUAGCUUGUUCAUGUCUUAUUUGGUUUCAUUUCAUCUGGUCACUCCUAGUGCAUGGUUCAUUUAUGGUUUGUCCAUAUGUCCAUUGGUUCAUGUACGCAAUCUCAUUGUCAAUUGGUCCUUGCUAAGGCCUAAUGUGAUUCAUUUAAGUCUUAUCAUGUUAUCAUUCAUUCAAGGGUUGAUUUCAAGAGGUUUGGAUAUGGUUCAUUCAAGGUCAUUUGUGAUGUCAUUCCUUCCAUUUUCAAUACCAUAGUUUGUUAAUCAAGUCAUUUUCAUUUCAAUACAUCAUUCAUUAUAAACCAAAUUCAAAUCCAUUCAUUAAUACCAAAUACCACAUUCAUUACAAAUCACCAAAUGUCCAUACAUAAAAAAGAUGCACACCACUUUGACCAAAUAUCGACUUUGGUCAACAUAUGACUUUUUUGGUCAACUUUGACCAAAGUCAACCCAUCUAUUUCAUAAAGCCCUAAACUUCAUGUCCAUUCAUGGCAAUUAUGUGUGGCAAAAAAAGGGAAAUUUUUGAUUAAAUUUUGAAUCAAAGAUCAAAUGGAGUAAGUGUUUAUUGCAUGAGUCAUGGUUUUCCCAUUUUUCAAAUGAUUGUAUCAUGUGUAUUGGUGGCUUUCAAAUCAAGUCAUUUUGUUCAAGUUUCUUGAAACGCGGAUGUCCUAUACCAGUUACAUCACGGAGCGGACAUCUCAUUCAACAUAAAAGUCGAGACUUGGUUGAAUCAUUUUAUGGAAAGGAGCAGAAUUCGAGAUAUUGAACAACAUUGGAAAAAGAAUCUAAUGCAAAAAUUACAGGGGUACCACCUACAGAUUUAGCCAGCGACAUAAGUUUUGAUUCGUUUUAAUUUCUUAUUUAACUGGACAAUAAUUGUAUGUAAUUGUGUCUCAAUAUAAAUAAGUGUUAUAUAUUCACCUUUUGUUCAUAUUUGUCUUAUGUUUUUUCUUUCCUCCAUGACAACAUUUGUUUUUGUCAAUGAAAAAACAGUUAUGUUUUAAUGUUCUGUUUUGAAUUGGUUCAGGACAAAUUCCAGAGAUGCAUCUCUGAACAAAGAUAAUAGGGUACGGUUCCGAGAUAUAUCUCUGGGAAUCAACAUAGUCAGUUAAUAGUGGCCAUAUUGAUCUUGGCUCUUCUUAUAUAUCUAGGUGCUCUUAUGUUAUAUUUCACAAAACUGGAAAAUGUCUAAAUCGUCACAAAUAACACGUCCAUUGCUAUGUACACGAAUGUCUCCUUCUCCGACUUUACACCCAAUGAGAAAUAUUUAAUAAUUUUUAAUAAAUAACAUUAUGAUUAAAAAAAACAUAUAAUAACCUAUAACAAUCAAUACGAUAUAAACCAUAUAUCUAAUUUCUAAAGUAAAACAAUGAAGAUGUUACAAAAAUAACUAUUGUCCAUACUAUUUGUUUUUAUAAACAUGUUAUUGCUUGUAGUAAACAUGUUAAUACUAAUAUAUAGCACUACUCCCUGUCGUGUGUGCUGGGGGGCGGGGGAGCGGGGCGGGCGGGUGGGGGGGGGGGGGAAGGCGGUGUGUGUGUUGGCUGUGUGUGUGGCGUGUGUGUGUGCUGUGUGUGUGUGUGUGGUGUGUGCGCGUGCGUGUGUGUGUGCGUGCGUGCGUGUGUGUGGUGUGUGUGCGUGCGUGUGCGCGGCGAGUGUGUGUGUGUGUGGGUGCGUGCGCGACGUGCGUGCGUGAGUGCGCGCGUGCGUGAGUGCGUGAGUGCGUGCGUGGUGUGUGUGUGUGUGUCGUGCGUUCGUGGUCGUGUGUGUGCGUGCGGGCGUGCGUGCGGUGUGCGUGUGUGUGUGGGUGUGUUGUGUGUGUGUGUUGUUUGUGUGUGUGUGGUGUGUGUGCGGUGUGUGUGCGUGUGUGUGUGGGGGUGUGGUGUGGGUGUGUGUGCGUGUGAGUGUGUGUGUUGUGUGCAUGCGUGUUUGCGUGCGUGCGUGCGUGCGUGUGUGUGUAUGUGUGUGUGUGUGUGUGCGUGCGUGCAUGCGUAUGCGUGUGUGUGUGUGUGUGUGUGUUGUGUGUGCGUGCGUAGGCGUGCGUGUGCGUGAGUGCGUCGUGCGUGCGUGCGUGCGUGCGUGUGUGUGUUGUGUGUGUGUGUGGUGUGUUGGUGUGCGUGCGUGCAUGCCGUGUGCGUGGGUGCGUGUGGUGCGAAGGGGUGCGUCGCGUGGGUGCGUUGCGUGCGGUGUGUGUGUGUGUGUGUGCGGUGCGUGCGUGCGUGCGUGGGUGGCGUGCGGGGUGUGUGUGGUGUUGACGGAUCACGUUGAUACUUGAUCUAUUAACAUGUUUAUACUUAAAUAUAAUCUUAAUAGUUCUUGCCAACUAUUAUUUAUAUUCAACAUACAUCAGAUGGAUCACGUUGAUACUUGAUCUAUUAAAAUAAAAUAGAUAACCAUGUUUAUAAUAUUUAUUGUUUAUUGUCUUGAAAUAUAAUAUUACAUAGAUUUUAUUUAAGUAUUUGAAAUAGAUAAACCAUGUUCACCUAAUACUUAUUCAUCCGUUUAAAAUAGAUAUCACUAUAGGUAUAACAUCUACAGAAACCACUGACACACUUGCUUAUUGUAUGUUCAGUGCAUCUACAUUGGUGAUCGUUUGUACAAGCCCUACCUAUAAUAAAAAAAUUAUUUAUAUUGUUAAAAUGAGAUAAAAUAUUUUCUUUACAAAGGAAUAAGAAAUAAAAAGUUAAAAUGAAAUUUGAAGAAUAAAAUGGCUCACCAUCAACAUUUGAUGCAACAAAAAAGAAAAAAAGGAAUAUAAACACAACGUACAACUUGAGAAUUGAAGCCAUUUCUUUUUCUCUUUUUUAUGAGAUAGAUAAAAUAAUAUUUGAUCAAUUUAUAGUGUAUAAACUCGAACAUCCCAUAUAAAAAAAUAAUAAAAUUAAUGUCGCUUAGGUGACUAAAUUGGUUGUAUUGUUCUUUGAUCAGACUUAAUAAAUUUGUCACAUAAAAUACUAUCUAAUAAUAAUAAGUCAUUAUUUUUAUCCAACUUAUAAUUUUUUUAAGCUUUCAUGAUAAGAAAGAGACAACAAUUUGUUAGACCACAUGAAAAUUGAUCCAAAAAAUUUAGAAAUGGUAGCUAAAUUUGUCUCUAAUUAGAUAAAAAUGAUUAAUAUGAUAUAUUUUGUAGUGAUAAAAGGUUAAUAUAAACCUUUUUUAAGUUAAAAGAUCAAAAUCAACUCCAAAGUUAACAAUCAGGAUAAAAGUGUAAUAAACCUUUUUUUAAACUUUCAUGAUAGGAAAGGGACAAUAAUUUGUUAGACCACAAAAAUUUCAUAUGCAGGAAUAAUUAGGACCAGUCUGGUAAAAUAACAAAAUCUAAUUCUUAGCACAAAGCCUCUCAAACUUGAUGCCCACCAUGUAAAACACCUUAGAGUUUCCUAUUAAAAGUGAUUUUAAGUUGAAUGGAGUGUUUGCAAAAUAUUUUGAAUCGUAUCAUAAUUUUCUCUGUUUCAUGUAAUAUUGACUACAAACUGUUGGGUGAGAAUACAUGGGUGCAAUAAUGAAUAGGGUGUGAUUAGACCUCCCAAAUAAAAUAUACUGAUUUGAAAAAUAAUUUUGAAAUUUUUUUAUAGUUUGAAAAUAAAAAUAAAUUAUGUGGUGGAAACAAUGUGCAUAUAAAAUGAUUAUGCUUAUCAAAUGGUAUGUACAUGAGACACCUCAAUCAAUAUACAAUACGAUAAAAUAUCGAAUCAAAAAGCUAGCCAAAAAAUUACCAAAAAGAGUAUUGAUUUAAUAUCAAAUUUAUACAAGACGUGUAAAUAUACCAAAUCAAUACAACAAAGAAUUUUACGACUACACUUUCAAGACUUUAUCAAUAACAAGAUAAUUUGAAGUGUGGAUUCUAAUAGAACCUACACUUCAUUGAUAAAUCACUCUCAAGGAAAAAAAACUAACCUCAUACAGUUAUACGAAAGUGGUAAAAACGACCUAAACAUACAAUUUUGCAAAAAUUGUGUGUGUGUGUGUGUGUGCGUGUGUGUUAUGUGUGUGUGUGUGCGCGUGUAUUGUGUGUGUGUGUGUGUGUGUGUGUGUGUGUGCGUGUACGUGUGCGUGUGCGUGUGCGUGCGUGUGUGCGUGUGUGUGUGUGCGUGUGCGUGCGUGUGUGUGUGUAGGUGAAUGAUGGAUGCAAUAUACAUGCUAAGAUUUGUUCGCAUGUGUGAAGGGAUGAAAUUCCCGUGACUUGAAGAAUUGGCAAAAGGCGUGAAGUAAUCGUGACUUAAUUUGAAUUGGGAGGAGCAUGGAGAACUCAUGAUAAUGAGUGUGAAGGAAAGAAUCUGACUUGUAAUCUUUGGUUUUUCUUUUGAUGUAAUUGGAUAUUAGUGAGCUUUUUUGGGAAUUAGUUUGGAUUGUAGUGUUGUUUGAAAUGUGAACAGCAUCACAAUCACAUCAGAGGAGGAGGAGAAUACACAGACAAGUCACAACACACAUUUUUCUUAGUUUUUAAUUUUAUUUGCUCAAAAGUUUAAGAGGUAUUCAAGUUAUGAAUCACCUCUGAAUUGUUCUUGAGCUAAAUCAAAUAACAAACAUGUUACCUUCGAAUCCAGCAAGAGAAAAAGAAAGAUAGAGCAUAAAGAAGUAAUAGAGGAAGAAAGAAAAAAAGGUUUAAAGCUUACCUAAAAUGGGAUCGAAGCAGCCUUUUCCUAAUCUGGGUAGAUCUUUGCAUUUUUGUUUGCUCUUUGUUCAUUUCAGACUCAUGUAGCCUUCAAUCCAUUUUCCUCUUUGUUGUUUGCCCUUGUAAUUUGUAAACGAAAAAAAAAACAUCAAUGAGUUGGGGAUAUUGGGCUUGAAAGGGGUUAAGGGUUAUUUUCUCAUGUUUGAUUUCAUAUGCUUUAAUGAUUGCAUGAUCGAUGAUGAUUCUUGUGGAUUCUAUAUCUAGGUUUAGUAUUUAAUUGUUGAAACUGGAUCUUGCGUGAGUGAUAGUUGUUCUUGGUGUGGAAAGAUUGUUAUUAUUCAUUUGUGUUUUUUGAUUUAGUGCGAAGAAGCUUCAUCCAUGGAGUUUUUUGGUAAUGUGAGAGAGAUGAGAGAAUUGAAGAAGAGGGACAUACUUAAGAAAUAUGGGAGAAAGGUUGGUAUGGUUAAUAAGAGAGAGAGAGAGAGAAGUGCGAAGAAGCUUCAUCCAUGGAGUUUUUUGGUAAUGUGAGAGAGAUGAGAGAAUUGAAGAAGAGGGACAUACUUAAGAAAUAUGGGAGAAAGGUUGGUAUGGUUAAUAAGAGAGAGAGAGAGAGAGUGUAAUUUUCACUUGAUUUUUUUAAUAUUUGAUUUCUUUUUAAUGUUUAUUGUUUCCAAUAAUUAGUAAUAAAUGUGAUUAAUGGGUUAAUAGGGGGCAAGUGGCGGCCGAGUAUACUUAGUUUUCUAGUUUUUUUUAGAGAAUUUCUUAAAGCAUCCUAGAUCUUUCUACUGCAUAACGUGAAUUUCCAAAAAUGUUCCCCAUUUUUGGAGAUACAUCUCCGGACGCACCUUUUGCACACUCAAGUAAAGCCAUUAUGAGAGGUGCCUUAUAUGUUGGAUAAUAUUUAUCCUAGAGAUGCAUAUCUGGAAUCUUUUAAGAAAGACCUUAAUUAUUUAACAGUUCAGUAGAUAUUCCGGAGAUGCAUCUCUGGAAUUAUAAGCAACAUUUUGAAAUUUACAUCACCUUUACAUGUCAGAUAUUUCCAGAGAUGCAUCUCCACGGUCCAGCACCGGAGGCAAAUUGGAUGCGCUUCCCUGAAAUGAGUCACCUAAUAGCAUGUGCGUAUGAUAGAGUGUGUAUUGACCUGACACGCUACGGUUUUUCAGAAACCUUUUUCCCACUGCGCAUCGCCCCACCCCCAAAAUCAAAAUGAUUGUAUCAUAUGUAUUGGAUGGCUUUCAAAAUCAAGUCAUUCUGUUCAAAUUUACUUGAAAUCAGGAUGUCAUAUACCAAUUACAUCACCGAAGUGGAUGACUCAUUCACCCAUAAAAGUCGAGACUUUGCCGAAUCAUUUUAUGGAAAGGAUGAAAGAAUUCGAGAGAUUGAACAACAUUGAAAAAGAAUCAAAUGUACAAAAUUCCAAGGGGGUACCACCUAUAGAUUUAGCCGGUGACAUAUGUUUCGAUUCGUUUUAAUUUCUUGUUUAAUCGGACAAAUAAUUGUAUGUAAUUGUGUCUCAAUAUAAAUGAAGUGUUAUAUAUUCACCUUUUGUUCAUAUUUUGUCUUUAUGCAUUUUUUAUCUUUCCCAUGACAACACUUGUGCUUUUGUCAAUGAAAAAAUAAGUUUUGUUUUAAUGUUCUGUUUUGAAACUGAUUCAGGACAAGUUAUUGAGAUGCAUCUCCGAAACAAGAUUAGAGGAUGCGGUUCCAGAGAUAUAUCUCUGGAAUCAAUAUGUCAGUUAAUGAGUGGUCCAUAUUGAUCUUUGCCUUCUAUAAAUAUAGGUGCUCUUAUGUUAUAUUUCACACAAACUGAAAAAUGUCUAAAAUGUCACAAAUAAACAUCCAUUGUAUGUUACAGAUGUCUCCUUCUCCGACUUUACACUCGAGUGAACGUUUAAGCUCACCAAUUCCACUUCCCUCGAAGAUAUCAAAGAUGAAAUCCACUAUCUCCUACCUUACAGAGACAAACAAAGGAUUGUGAAGCUCGAAUACCGUUCACCAUCGAUUGACAAUGAAGGGAAGAUUGAGCUCAAUAAAUUUAAGCUCAAGACGCAAGCGAAUGUUAGGGCUAUGUGGGAUACGUAUUUUUGUUUCAAAACAAAAAUUCCGCUCAAGUUGGAAGCGAUGCUACAAAGAUCGGUCGAAGAUAUUCUGAAGAUGUACAAGCGUCUACCAAGAUAUUGAAAUGUAAUAUUGUAGUUUAUGUUGAAAUCAUCUUUGUAAUGCUUAUUUUAUGUUAUGAAUGUCAAUUUCAUUUUGAAAAAUUAUUUUUCUAUUGAUUCUGAUAUUGGUGUGUCUCUCCGGAAAUGUAACUCUGGAAUAAAGUAAACAAAAAAAAGGCGUAACUCAUAAUGACCUUUAUUCAGUGUGUGUUAGAGUACAUUUUGAAAAAUUAUUUUUCUAUUGAUUCUGAUAUUGGUGUGUCUCUCCGGAAAUGUAACUCUGGAAUAAAGUAAACAAAAAAAAGGCGUAACUCAUAAUGACCUUUAUUCAGUGUGUGUUAGAGUACUUCCGAAGAUACAUCUCCAAAAUCAGAGGACAUUUGUAAAAAUUCACAUAGUGCAUUAGAAACAUCUAUGGUGCCAAAAAAAAAUCUCUUUUAUAAUAUCAAAUUCUCUCUUCUCAUUUCCAGGGGGUGAGUGGCCCUAACGUUAAUCUGAUGAAAAACAAAGAAAAAAAACACAAAAACAGCGUUGGGCAUAAGCUAUUGGCCCUACGCCAAAACCACUAGCCAUCUCCCUUUAUUCAAGUCUUGCACCCUCCUUAUUUUAUUGAGAUUAAUUAUUAUGCAUUGUUAGUGUAAAAAGUUUUACACUAUCGAUUCAUCACUAUCACCCGUUUACAUUACUUUAUAGAUUUUUAAAAUAAAAGUCAAACUUGUUUCAUUAUCCAACGAUUAUGAUUAACUGACGGUGUAAGAUCCUUUUACACUGUCAGUGUAUUUCAAUUAAAUCCUAUUUUAUUUGUUUAUUUUUUUAACUUUACUUUUUUAUUUAUCAUUUUAGUUUAGUAUUUUAGAUAAUCAAAACUAAAAAAAAAGUACAAUGAUGCUUCCGUUUUCAUUAUUCAAAUAAAUUUCAAAAAAUAUGUAUAAUAGUAGUAUUUUUCGUUGUCAAAAUUAAUUCCAAAAUCUUUCCACGAUAAAACUUUCUCAGCCAACAAUUAUACUAGUCCAUAAUCUUUCCAACAACUUUACGUAAGACAGAUCUCCACGAAAACUCCAUGAAGGAUGUGUCUUGGCGUCUCCAUACUUCUGCAUAUACGGAUAACAAUGACAGAGUGUGUAUCAAGGCGAUUUUCGUUGCAUCUCAAGGCUGCCACGAGGCAUACCUAACGAAACAUCUCUAUGAGGAGCGUCGUUCAUGUCUCCGUAUUCAAUUCACUCCUUGGAAGCAUAGUAUAUGUAUGUCUCCACUGAGCAUUAGUGAAGUGCACAAGGUGAUAAACGAAAUGCCCAAAGGAAAAUCAGAGGUUGCAGAGACAGUGAUAUUUGGGUCUGAGUCUCAAAAUUAGUGUCCUACAAACGCGACUCGGAAAUGUGUCAAUUUUGUGGAUCUAAUCAACCAUCUGGACAUAACAGAAUUAUCCAUCAUGUACUAUAUUGCUUGCCACCGCUUUCUGCUGACAAAUCUGCAUGACAUUUUGAAGAGGUAAGUGGUAUGAAAAGGCUUCAUGGUUCUUGGUAGUUUUGUAUGGUUCUUCGAGAGCAGUUAUAUGAAAAGCAGUUUGUCAUCGGAUAAAAGGCUUUUAACUUUUGACCCUGUGUCAUCCAAGAUAUUAAGGCAUUCUAUAUGAGACAAAAUGAUGAUGGAAAGACAGUUGCAGCCAUGGGCGUGUUGGUUCCGAAGGUAGUUAUAAGAUAUAUCUAAUAUAUAACUACUACUGAGUAAUGUUUGCAGGCAACAAAUUCUCAGUACUAUCCAAAAAAGUAGAAACUUGGGUUUGAAGGUACUUCAAAAAAGAAAACAUAUUUUUUGUCUGAUUAAUGUUAUUAAGCUGAGCUCUGGUUGUUUGUUUAGUGAAAUAACAAAGGAGUUAUUCCAAGGUAUAUAUUACAGUUUAAUGAUUAUGGGAUGGUGAAGCCUCUGUGAUUAUAUAAAGAUAGACAGUAGUAGUAUGCUUUUGUUUUUGGACUAGCAGAACUAUAUGCUCGUUGUUAUGAUUUAGUUUCACUCUCUUCUGGUUAGAUUGGUGAACUUAUUGGUGGAAGCCAAAGAGAAGAGCAACUUGAGCAUUUAAAAGCUCGUUUAGAUUUUUUAAAGUUGAAUAAGGAUGCAUAUUGAUGGUAUCUUGAUUUGCUUCAAUAUGGACCAGUUCCUCAUGCUGGUUCUGAUUUGGAUUUUGAAAGACUUGUCCAGUUUGCAACGGGAAUGGAUGAUAUAAGAGACGUUAUUCCUUUUCCUAAAACAUCUGGCACGGCCGAGUUCUAAUCUUUUAGACCCCAACAAAAUUGAUGUGUGACUUUCUCUCUGCUGGUUUUUCUAUGUGAUUUUGCAGGUUUGCAGGCAUUUGUCGUCGACUUUACGAUGCGUCUGCACUAGGGUUGCGCAGGAUGCAGGAAUAGGUGGUUGGUUGUUGGUGCGUACUGCAGCUCUUUGCAGUUUGGAUUUGCAUAUCCCAUGUUUAGUGCAUAGUGCUGAUAUCAACUCAACAGUUUCUCAGUAAUUUCUUGGACAGCCUUAUUUUUCUGUUGUGGAGUAGAAGUACUUGAUUAACUUAUGUUGUAGUUAUAAUUCUUAUGUUUUGUAAGAGAGUAUAGUUUGGUAGAUUGGAAUAUGUUGUGGAUAAAGACAUAUCCGACUAGAUUAUGCUUCCGGGUUGGGAUGCUUGAUUGCUUUGGUUUAAAUACAUCACCACACAUAUACCGGCAUCGAGCCGAACAGCUGUAGCCAUCAUCAACACUGUCGAGUGCAAUCCGCCGAGGCAUUAAAGUAUGGUUUACAAAUCCUAAGAGUUUGAAUUUUAUUCAUAUAGCUCUGAACCGAAAGAUUGUGCAGGUGAGUUACCCUCUAGUUGGUUUUACAGUUUCGGUUCACUUUCCCAUGCAGCAUGUGAAGCGCCAUUGGUGCUUCCAUUGGGAGGUUUCACUUAUGGAGAAAAAUGUCUAUUCCUAGUUAAUGAUUGGCAUGCCAGCUUAGUUCCAGUACUUUUGGCAGCCAAGUAUAGCCCGUAUGGGGUAUAUUAGGAUGCACGUAGUAUAGUAGUGAUUCACAAUAUUGCACACCAGGGGUGAAACCUGCAAUUACAUAUAGCAAUUUGGGGCUGCCUUAUGAAUGGUAUGGAGCCCCCCGGAGUGGGUGUUCCCUACAUGGAUGAGGAUGCAUGCUCUUGACACAGGCGAAGCUGUCAAUUUUCUAAAAGGCACCAUUGUUACGGCUGAUCAGAUAGUAACAGUAAACAAGCUUUUGUUACAGCAUCUUUGUAUACAGCAUGAGAACUUUAAAUCAAGACCUGAAGUGGGUGCCAGCGGGAUGUCUCUUUGACAUUGGCACUUGUUGAAUUUGUGUACCAUCUCAAUUGCAUCUUUUUAUAUUGUUGGCUAAUAAUUGCCAGCUUGUGUUAAUUGUUGUUAGCAGUCCAAAUCUUGCUGCUAAAAGGAAACUUUCAAGGAUUAUAGCAAUCUCGUUACACAUGUUUUAGGUGAGUCAAAAUGUUCAGAUCCCAUUCUCCACUAUAAUGAUAGUGCACUUAGCGUCAUGAGAACUCAUCAUGAUCAUGCAAAGAUAAAUCCCAUCAAGUGCAUUAAUAAACAAGCUUGGUUAUAGAUGUAACGAUUCAACCAUAGCACAACCGAGUCACACCUAUCACCUGUGAACAACAUGUAAUUAAUUUGGAUAAUUGUCAGCUUGUGGUAAUUGUUGGCUUAUGAUCCUUUCAAGAUGGAUAGUUUUCUUUCAUCGAGAUGUCGCUUUCAUACCCCUUCAUGUAUUUUCUUAAAGAAUCCAUUGUCGUAAUUGUCUGCAAACCAUUACAUAUUAUGUAAAGAGAUAAAAGGCAACAAGUCGUGUCGUUGCAUACUAAAUAUGUCAAAUUGAAACAAGAGUAGCAAACUACAACACAAUAAAAUUAGGGGUUGGACAAAUACAAGGAUAUAUUUUAAAUUAAUUAUCUUUAUUGUCGAAAAAGGCGAGCUAUAUUUCUAUGUCAUUCGUAACUAAUUUAGAACUUAUAUUAAGUAAAUAAGUGUUGUUCCUUUCUUCUACGAGGACAAGAGACAUCUUCUCUUUUCUAAACUCUUAAAAUUAUGCAGGAUAAUUGUCGAAACAAAGACCGGAGAGAGACUUACCCUCUAAUAAAAGUAGGGACUGAGAACGACGAAGACCUCCUCAAGAGACAGAUCGGGUCACGUUAAAUAAAUCUCUGACCUUAAGCAAUCGGCCACAUAAAUGCCAAACCUCUGGUCGGAUCGGGUGAAAUAAAGGGUUUGACCUCCAUUUGACGUCAACCCUUAUGGGGCUCUGAACAUCGGUCAUGUAAAAUAAAUAUCCUGAUCUCCAUUUGACGUCAACCCCCAUGGGACUCUAAACGUCGGUCAUGCAAAAUAAAGUCGCUGACCUCCAUUUAACGUCAACUUUUGUGGGACUUUGAACGUCGGUCAUGCAAAAUAAAGCCUUAGACCUCAUUUUGACGUCAACUCCUAGGGAGCUCUGAACGUCGGUCAUGCCACAGAGCCUCUGACCAAUACCACGUCAACGGUUAUUGACACUAUGAAAUUGGCUAAGUAGAAGCAAACCUUUGGCCGAAUCAAAAGUUCGUGUUAAUAAAAAACUUUGGCAUCUCGAUCAAGUUGACAUACCUUUGUCCUUAAGUAGUUUGAUUAAAUUUAUCACUGACCAAAUAUUCGACAUGAUCUACCUGGGGUUAAGCCGAUUCUUGUUCAAAAUUAAUAAGAUCUCUCAAAUCAUUAAGGCUCGAUUUGUUGGGGCUUUAAACCUAUACGGUAUAAACUUCAGCUAAAAGAUAAGUUGACUCGUUUGAAGCCGACCAUUUUAUCUGAUUUCCAUUCGAACACAUCAGUUAUUACCAAAGAGAUAAAAUACAUUAGGGUUACCUAACAAAUUCAAAAGGACUAACACAUUAUUCUCAGAGGACCAGGAAAGCGUCAAAACAUUACAUAAUGCACCCGCAAAGGAUAAUUCAAUAAUUACGAACCAAUGUUCUGAUGAGAGAUCUCUGAUUUUAAUCACACCAAAGAUUCUCGGGUAUUUGACCCCAACUCACAUGGGUCAUGUAAAGAAUGAAGCAAGACAUACUUGGAAUUCGCCAACAUCUUAUCUAUCAGGAUUUAGUUACUUAUAAUAUUUGAAAACCCACGUAGGAUAUCACAAUUCUAAUAAUAGGGACAAGCUUUAGCUUAAUUAAAACGAGACGCUAAUAAGUCGAGAUCCAACUAAGGCUUCCCGACUUCUCUAUGUCUAGAACCUACCGAGUUUUAUGACACCAAUAGAUCGAGAUCCCACUAGGGCUCUCUAACUUCUCUAUGUCUAGAACCUAGUGAAUUUUAUGACACCAAUAGGUCGAGAUCCUACUGGGACUCUCUAACUUCUCUAGGUCUAGAACCUUCCGAGUUCUACGACAUCAAUGGGUCGAGAUCCCACUCGGGCUCUCUGAAUUUUCUUUGUAUAUAACCUACCGAGUUCUGCAACGACAAUGGGUCGAGAUCCCACUAGGGCUCUCCAACUUCUAUAUGCCUAUAAACUACCAAGUUUUACGACAACAACGGGUCGAUAUCCCAUUGGGGCUCUCCGACUCCUAUAUGUCUAGAAACGGUUUGGAAACCAUGUCGAACUAGAGUUAUGAUUGGAUUCCCCAUAAAAUCAGACCAGAUGGAAGUAUAACCCAUUCAAGAAGAAAGAAUUUCAAGAUUCUUUGUCUGAAUAUUCAUCUCAUUGUGAUUCAUGAUCGAGAGGCUUAUGUACAUCCUGAAAUUCUUAAAGUCGAGUAUGUUUCUCGGAUUUUGAUAAGGCUGAAGAAUUAUUAUGAGGUCGGGCAGCGAGUUCCAUAUUCAUCCCAGACUCAAUUGACUGGGCUCUGAAGGAACGAGUCAAGUCAUAAUCGUUGUAACAUUCCUGGAAGGUCGAAGACCGUUACAGAAUGAUUGAUAAUUUGUUACAUAUCACUAAUAGCUACUAAACCCAUUAAAACUACGUCCAUUUAAUAUUCAAGAGGGAGAGCAAGGUUUGCAUAUAAAUAGGUCUUGAGACCAAACAAAUAAGGAGACAUUUGAUCAAUGAAUAACAUUAGAAAGAGAGAAAAUACGCGAGAACCUUGGAUUACCAACAAUGGUGGCCAAGAUUCCUCCCUAACCUGCCUCAUGCCAGACAGGACGAUUGUGAUCCCACCUGACCAGCUUCAGGGGGAUUUCUCCAAAUGAUAUUUAUCAAAAAUAUAAAUAAUAAAAAAACAAACAAAAAUAUCAUAAUAUUGACCAUACAACUAAUAUUCUAACUUACAAAAACUAAAUAAUAAAAUACAAAGUUAUAUGAACAAGGUGAGUUUUGGGGUACUAGUGCCCCCAUUUCUUAGUCAAUCCCUAAAUUUUGUAAUCAAAGAAUAUUUGAACCUAAAUCCAAUUAAAACGAUUUUUCUAUAUUAAAUUUGGAGUGAAUUCAAAUGAGUAUUUAUUAGUUCGAUUUUUGUUGCUAUGAAUAUAGCCUUGAGAACAAGAACUUAAAUAGAGGGGUUGCGAAAAUUGGGAAAUGCUCAUUCCAUCCUAUGGGGUGCGUCCAACACAUAUGUAAACCCAAAAAUGCCAUUAUUUGUGUUCGAAGGUGCAUCUCUAGAUGCACCUAAAAUCACAUAAACUUUCGUAAUAUCUGAUAGCCACCCAUUUUGAGCAAAAUAUGAUCCGGAGAUUUGUAUAUUAUUUGGGGUGUAUUCGGAGAUACAUGUCCGAAAACCCCUAUGAAUAGUUUCAAGACAGUAACAUUGUCCCAAAAUUUAUAUUUUUUAAGGUCAACUUAUGUUUUAGGCCAUGAGUUAAAAUACAUAUACAUUAAUCGAUUCAAACAUGCUACACAUACAUUAAAAAAGUCACACAUUAAUUAAAGUAUAACCAAAAUGUAAGGAUCAUACAUAACUUGUUCCGAAAAUACAAAAAAUAUUAAAAUCAAACAUAUACUACUGAGAAUGUAUAACCCUUAACUUCUCUGUUUGUACUGUAAGGCAUUUCAAGUCUCGACAAUAACACCUUCUAAGAGGGCCAACUAGAGAUUGCCUUCCUCAAAAAGUCCAACCCAUAUGCAUGAUCUCUUCAUAUCCACAACAUGCUGGCAAACAUUGCUUACGUCCUGGGUGUGGUUAUUCGUAACCUUAAGCACCCCUUGAUUAAAUGGCGUAAGCGGCUUUCUAGAAGCGUCUGAUGUCAUAAUAGGGUGUGAUGCCAUAUAGAACCAUGUCUUGUAGGCGUAUGCACAAGUCCAAUGUACACGAGCUGACAUCCUAUAAUACUUCUCUGGUACCAAAUGACUCUAGAAAUCCUCAAGCAUCACAUCAAGAUCUCUGCGAUGGACGAUGGGAGAAGCGGACUUUGAGGGGUAUCUCAAAGUAAUAUGGAAAUAUCCAAACUGACACAUCACUCACUUGGGAAGAUACAUAUACAUCAGGCAUAACCCAUGUGCUAGCCAACAGGAGUAUAAUGAAUUGAGGUUUAGCUGACGCAUUUAACGGUGACCUUCAUAUGGGUAAAAGACAAUGUCAUAUGCUAUAAUGUAAUCAAGAUACACUCGGAAGGGCUCGAUCUCCUAAUUCCAUAUACACGGGGAAAAUGCAGCAACACGUGACUAAUCCUCAUCGUAGUUAGGCACAUGUUUCCACCCGAAAGUGCGAGGAAAGUGAGAGAUGAUCCAUCCUUAAAAAAGGGUUACGAUAAAUAUUAGUAACAAGUGUAACAAAAGAGAUAAAAAUAUCAGUAACAAUAAAUUACCGUAAGCAGCGUAUAACUUCCUGUCAUUUGCUUUGUCUUACAAAGAUAACCCUCGUAAAUCGCCGUCAAGUCGAUGAAGUAUUUAAGGCAUACCACAUCGACGUAGGUUGCACUUUUGCACACAAGUAUGGACGUGUCAAUCAGGUACAAGAGCUAACACCUUAAUUCACACUAUCGGUGAUACUUAACCUACAUAUCAUCACCGUCGGCAUCCACAACCAUCUGCAGGUGGUCUUUAUAAAGUUUCUUCUAAUAAAUUAAAUAUAGCAUGAGCACCUCUAGUGCCAUCUACCUCAUUUGCAGCCUUAGUUGAGUCAACCCCCAAAUAUGUAAUCAACAUCUCGUUGUCUUCCUCUCGAUUGAGUCAUCAGUGGUCCAAUAAUUUUCCCAUAAUGGGAAGAUACAAGAGGCACGAGACAUCAUCUAGGGUGAUGGUCAUCUUUCAAAAAAGAAUGUGGAAAUAUGAAGUCUCUGAAUUCCAUCUUCCUGCAAAUUUCGCAUGCAUGUAAUGGUUUAUGGUAGUGUAUGCAACAACAUAUAAAUCAACAAAAUCAAAGUAGCAGAUACCAUUUUUGAACCAGUCAGUGUCAGGCUAUUCCAAAUCCACAAUAUUUCUUAUGUGGUUUAUAGAUUUUAAACAUAGAUACUCAUAUAAAAAAACACCAUCAAUCACAAUUAAAUUUGUUUAAAACAGAUGUAAUGGAAAUGUAAAUAAACAUACAUCUCCUUCCCAUACAUGUCUUGAAAUAGGGUAUCUAUGGAUAUGAAGCAAAAAUGUGUCAAAUGGGCCUCACAAAUAACUAUAUACAUGGGCAUUAAUAAUAGGUUCCUCUUGGGCUUCAGGUGCUUCAUCAACUAGGGAUAUGUGACCCCGUGAGGUAGAUAUCUGAGAUAGGCGACUAAGGGAAGUAAAACCAGAGCCAUCAAACAAGGUAUCAUCGACUCGUGAUCUCAUAGCUCUUCCCCGUCCCUCUCACGUUGUACAAACACAUGUUAGGACACAUGGUUAAGCCUAAUUCCGUUCAGGUUGUUUUCAGUCACUGCACUUGUAAUAAAAUCAGAAAGUCACAUCAAAAUUCAACCAAGAUGUAGUCAGACAUAAAUUCAAAGAUACAUCUCCAAAAGCAUCUUAGACAUAAUCCGAGAAUGCAUCUCCGAAUGAACUCAAGAUUCAUUGAUGGCUUAACAUCCAACCAAAUGAAAAUAAAUGCCUAUAUCAACUACCUAUUUCAAUUGUACUACUAUCUAAUGUAACUUAAACAACCUAUGUUACUUAAAACAUCAUUCAAAAUACAAAAAUAGAAUGAAAUAAUAUACUUACCAAAUUAGAGUUGUGGAUGAAAAGCUUGAAUGAAGUGAGUGAUAAUGGAGUGAAAUGCAGCAAAUGAAGUAGAAUGAAGCUUGAUGAAACUUGUUCAAAUAUGGUUUGGAAAUAGUUUGCAACAAGAGAGCUUACAUAUAGUUCUUUAAGUGACUUUUCAAAAAAUGAAAGAGGAAGAAGGAACAAUUUGACGCAGGUUUAUGAAUAAAACUCGCCUGAAGAUGCAUAUCCGUAAAACUCUCUAAAUUUUGAAUUAAAGGUGUUUACGAAGAUGCAUAUUCAGAUUCAUCCUUAUGUUAUACAGAAAUAUAUAUCCGAUUUAAAUGUUAGCAAAAUAAAGGCGAUUCAUCUAUUUACACUGAAGGGUGUAUAAAAAAAUGCGUCUAAAGAUGCAACUUGAGAUAAUAGGGACAAUUUUGACUUUUCACCGUGAUAGAAAGCACCCAUGAAAUCUUUAAAAAAUUUUCAACAACAUUUCUUUUUCUAAAUCCAAAAUUAAAGUGGGCCUGAAGCCCAUUAAGAAAAAUGACUGCAAAAUCGACCAAACCCACAAAUAAUUUCCUCCUCUGUAGAAUCCCUUCAUUUCGCCUCCUCUUCAAAUUCUCACUACUUCCCCCGUUCCUCUCAUUUCCCUACACUCUCUUUCUCUCCCAUUCACUAUUUCUGACCAGCUCUCCGAUUAGGGCAUCGUCGAUAUGCCCCUCUUCAUCACCGACGAAGACUUCUCUCGGUUAUCCGGCGACACAACCGCCGUAGCCGCAAAAGCUGACACCUUCAUCCGCGGCCUCCUCAACGAACUCGACACCGUCCGUGCUAAGGCUGAUGCCUCAGACAUCAAUGCUGAACAGAAUUGCUCCCUCGUUGAGCAGAAGUAUCUCUCCCUCUCUGCCGAGUUCUCCAAGCUCGAAUCCCAUGCUUCUAACCUCCAAUCUUCCCUUGAUCAACACCUCCGCGACCUCUCUGAUGCCCAAGCGCAAAAUCACCAAUUUCACUUGCAAUUGGUGCGUUUUGGAAACGUUUCGAAAUUGAAAUGAAACAAUUCCUCUUGUUGCUAGUUAUUACCGUUGAGGAAGCAUUGCACUUGGAAAUUGUAGUUAAUCUUGUCAUAAUUGCAGUUAUCACUGUGCUGUUUUGACUAGUUUCUAGUUUUUCGAGCUUCUAUAUUAAAAUGAAGUUUUGAUUUUUCAUUUAUGGUAACGUUCUAGGAGCUUAGAUGCCUUAUAAUGUCAACUUAUGUUUGUUUUAUAAACUAUUAUUUUUAUACUUAUUUUAUCAUAAGUACAUUAGGACAAGUUUGCUCAAAUUGAUCAAAUGUUUAAAAUCUUUGCAAUCGGUGGCAUUCAUGUGUAGAGUUGUGUUGCUAGGUGUUUCCAUUUUGAUGUGAUUGGUUAUUGUUUUUUAGGUUGAGAAGGAUAGAGAGAUAGAGCGGUUGAGGACGGAGGUGAGCGAGCUGCACAAGUCAAAGAGGCAGUUGAUUGAGUUGAAUGAACAGAAGGAUUUGGAGCUUAGUGAGAAGAACACUACCAUCAGGAGCUAUCUUGAUAAGAUUGUGAGUUUCUUUGCAUUUUGGUGUUGUAGUUUGUUUUGUUUUUUUGGUGAAUGCUUGUGUUGAUGCUUGUGUUUCAAUGGUGUUGUUGAAGAUCCAUUUGACAGAAAAUGCUGCCCAUAAGGAAGCACGCCUCAGUGAAGUUGAGGCAGAAAUGGGAAGAUGCCGGGCUGCUUGCACCCGCCUUGAGCAGGUUCAGUAUAAUUUUUCUUUGAUUUACCAUUAGUUUUACUGCCUAAGAGGUAUAUAAGUGCUACGUAGUUCCUUUGCUUGACUUUUUUUUCUUCUUGUAAAUGACUAAUUUCUAAUUGGAUUACAGCUAUGCAAUUUAGUAAUGGACAUUUUAAAUGAGCUAGUCUGAUUUGUUGUUACCUACUGCUUGUGUUAUGUGCUGUGCAUUACUCCUUUUGUCUUGAGUGAACACAAAACACUUCCAUUUUUUAUCUCACUACAACCAUUUAAUGCAUGUAAGCAGGAAAAGGAGAUUGUUGAACGGCAGAAUGCUUGGCUUAAUGAGGAGUUGACUACUAAAACUAACAGUUUCUUAGAGCUGCGCAGAAAACAUACAGAAUCAGAAUCCGACACAUCUUCUAAACUUGCAGAUGUGAGUAUAAUAUUAUAUUUUAAAACUACUAUGUACUAUGUACUGUGUACUUUUAAUUUGUUUUUAAUUUUUUGUUUGAUUGUAAUUUGAUCUUUUGUCAUCACUCUCAGGUUGAAAGACAGUUGAGUGAAUGCUCUAAAUCUCUGCAAUGGAAUAAGGAUCGAGUAAGGGAGCUUGAAAUGAAACUUAAAUCUAUGCAAGAGGUUGACAACAUUCCAUUCUUUUUAUCUUGCAAUGUGAUGUAUGAUUCUUUACAUCCGAAACCUUGCCUGAUCGAGCUUUUAUACACUUGUAGGAAUUAAUAUCAGCUAAAGAUGCUGCUGCAGCUAACGAAGAGCAAUUAUCUGCUGAACUUUCAACUGUGAGUGCUAUGGCAUACAUGAACGCCUUCCCAAAAUAAACCCCCAAUUUUUUCCCUUUCAAAUACUGCUAUAAUAUGCUUAGGCAUUUGGAAAUAGCGGCAUGGCUGUCUUACAUAAAAAAAAUCUUUGCAAAUUUAAAUAUUUAUAUUCAAUUCUUGAACUUGACAACAACCUGACGCAUGGUAGAUUCAUAGCAUAUGGCUAAAGGUCAUUUUUUCUUAAUUAUAUCUUAAAUUUAAUCCAUAGACAGUCAUAUUUUGCAUUCAUAAUUUCACAGUAAUUUUGACAUCAUUUUCAUAACUUCUAUUAAUGUUUUUUUUUGCCAUAGCCGCUUAGUGGUCUGUUCUAUCAUUAAAUACAUUGCACACAAAAUAAAUUAAACAAUAAAGCAAAUGCUGGUUUCCUUCCCUAUAUUUUGCCCUGUCAAUGAGUUAUAAACUUCAGUCUGCUAGUCACAGUCUCAUAAUCGAAAAAUCAUUUAUUCAUCACGUGUCAGGAAUAUGGCGAGUUGUGGUAUCACAUGUAGUUUGUCCAUCUUGGAGGGUAAAAUUGAAUAUGUUAUAGGGAGAAAAUGCUUCAUGUAUGAUGCUCUUUUUUACAUUAUAGAAUCUGAAAUUUCAGCUUCAAUGUAAAUACCAUUGAGUAAAUGGUUUGUAGUCAUGCAUAGUCAUUCAUUUUUCAUGGUCACUGUUUUUGUGCCAGCAACGUUUCUAAGAAUGUCAAACAUCCUAUGUUAUUCAUUUUGAUAAUAAAAUAAAAUGACAGAAAAGAGAGGUGUAGUACAACAAUGAUGAGGAUGGAUGGGAGAUCCUUUAAAACGUGUAAAUCUUAUGUUUUGGCAUCUGCCACAACAUGAACUUGGGCAGCUGAUGUGUGCACUGCCCAUUUGGACCCAAAUUAUCAUUUAACAACUCCAAUCUAUAUUAUUCAGGAUAAUGAGCAUAAAUUUUAGUUCUGUAUUUUUUUCUUACCUUUUUAAAUUAAAUGAAUAUUUGCAUGUACAAUGCUAAUAGGUUAAUAAGCUUAACGAGCUUUACAAAGAGAGUUCCGAGGAAUGGUCCAGAAAAGCAGCGGACCUAGAGGGUGCUAUAAAAGCGAUGGAGGUGAAGAUUGUUUUCUAUUACACUCUUUUCUAGUGCCUGGAAUUUAUCAUAUUAGAGAUCGAGUUCUUGAAUACUUUUUGGUAAUACAUGUGUUUAAGCAGUCACACCUAAAGCAAGUUGAAGAUGAUUAUAAAGACAGACUCGAGAAGGAAUUUUCUGUUAGAAAGCAGUUUGAAAAGGUAUUUUAUUCUUUUGUAUUGAGCAGGCUGUUAUUUGAACAGAAUAGUAACUAACUUGAAUUUUUCUGUUAGCUGUUAUUUUUUGAAGUAUAUUGUUAUAUGAUAUGCUUGAAGAUGAUUAAUGCUUCAAGGGCAAGGGGUGUCUGUUUCAUUUUAUUUGUGGGUACUGGGUAGAUAUUGACUCAAAAUUUAUCACAUGUGUGGAAAUGCACAUAUAAUCUCAUUUUAUUUCUAUUUCUCUGCUUGUAGGAAGCUGCUGAUUUGAAAGAAAAGCUUGAGAAGUGUGAAGCUGAAAUUGAGACAAGCAAGAAGAUGAAUGAACUAAGCAUUCUUCCACUAAGAACCUUCUCCACUGAACCGUAUGUCUCUGUUGGUCUUUUUUUCUGUUUUGAGGCACUUGAUUAGGCUCAUUUUUCCCAUCUUAUUCUUGUGUGUGCUGCUUUUCGCUUAAGUAGCUGGAAAUGGCAAGCCUUGGGGGGCAUCGGAAAUAGAUAGAAUUUCAUUCUCAUUUGUUUGUUGAGAAACAAGGACUGGAGUAUGCAAAAAUCUGCCACUUUGAAAAAUGAAGUAACUCUUAGUAUAUUCAACUAACCUAGCAAUGAUAAUUUUCAAUCAUUUGAUUGUAGGGUUUUGAAUACAAUAGAAAUUAUAAUUUAUUUAGAAAUUAGGUAGUUCAGAGGUCAAAGCUCCAAUUUUAGCAGAAAAAGUGCAGGGAAAUACAAAAAAAAGGAACCAAACCUUUUCUGUUCAUCGACAACAAACAUGCUCAAAUUAACCUUGAAUGAUUGCCUGCUUCUCCACUUCAUUUUUCCCUUUUGCAUCAUUGUUAUUGAUUGCCCGAUCCCUCACUAUUCAUAUCUGAUGAGUACCCCAGGCCUGUCACUAUCAUAGUUAUCAAAAUGAGAGGACCUGUUUGAUUAUUGAUAUUUAAUUUUGUUUAAAUUACGAUUUUAACCUAAUUAUGGACUCUUGGACACAUAGUCAAUACAAAUAGGGUAUUUUAAAGUAAAAACGAGUAACAUAUGCAAAAGACACAAGCUGAUAUAUCAUAUGUGAACUUCAAAAAAAUUUGAGAUUUCAAGUUAUAAAUCUAGAUGUCAAAAAAGAAGUUGCUGGCCACAGUUUAAGUGAUAAAUGUGAUUCAUUAGAUUAAUAAAAAUGUAUCAAGAUUCAUGUCCAAAAAAGAUAUGCACGAAUUUUCGUAUUGAUUUGGUUCAAAGCAUUCUAAUAAUCUAUUUGUGACUAAGACAAUAAGGUUUUGUAAUUCUUGGAAAUUGAAAGCAGGAAUAUACAGAGAGUUAUGUGGAACAACACAAUAGGUUGGACAGUCCUUCCAUGUUCGAUUUUAUCACUUUGAGCUUAGAUACUGGUUGAUCUUCACAAGUGCUAGUGGCUUUGAGCCUUUGACUUUAGUAUUUAUUUGCAAUGGUAAUGUGAUGAGGUGUUUGUGAAAAAGAAAAAUUAGAAAAAGAGUGAUUCAUCUGCACUGUGAUCAGUAUAAUGGGAAUCUAAAACCCUGGUUUCAAACGAUGAUGAACUAUGAAUAAGUGCUGCAGGCAGUAUAACUACUGUAUGGGCUACACUUAAUUAAAAUGUUACUGUAUUAUCUUAAAAAAUAUAAAGAUUGGCAACCUCAUGGUUAGAUGCCGCUGUAAUUUUUAUUUUUUAAUGGCCGAGGAUGAGUUAUGCUAUUGGUUUUGUCUAGAAAACAAUGCAAGCAAUAACACUUGUCCUUAUUAUGUCUACGGCUUACUAGGCCACACCCAUGGCUGCAAUGCAACCACUUCAUUGUUGUCAGUCAAGUUAAAAAAUACUUGUAUGCUCCACUUAGGGUUUUUGUGGGCUAUUGGCUAAGGUGAUCUAAGAAGGAGCCUGCAACAACAAAUUAACGAGAUCUGCCACUUUCAAAACAUUAGGAUUUGGUUUCUAAUAGACUCAGUCCUUGCAAAGACAGUGACGCACGAAAAGUCUAAGACCAUAUACAGGUUGCCAUGUUUAUCUAGGGGGUGUAUGUUUUAGGUCUAGGAAUGACGUUCUUGGUAAUAUAUGGGCUUUUGAAUGAAUGUUCCCAUGUUGCUAAUUUGGAAAAUAUAUUCUCAGGUAUAAAGGAUCAUAUGGAAAAAGUAACUUCUCAUCUUUUGGGUUUCACAUCCUUCCCUGGCUGGGUUUGAAUUGGGUCAUAUAACACCAAUUUCAUUUUCGACCCCUGCUCUUUUUUUUUUAAUUUAUAAAAAUGGUCCAUCAUUUUCCGCCACAUGCCCCUGGCUGCCCAUGUUUGACGACCACCAUACAAAAUCUGCCUAGACACCACCAUUUUGUGGCGGUGUGAGGAAAACCCAUCACUGCUUGGCCAUGGGGUCACCAUAGUCUUCAUUUUACAACACUAAUCCUCAGUAUAGUACGAGUAUUUCUAUUUAAAUGGGGUCUCUGAAAAACAAAUUAACAAAUAUCAUUGAUAAAAGAUAAAAGAGAAAUAUGACAACCAAUUAACUUUUGAGCGGUUGUUUUACAAUGCCUUAACCUAAUAGCUUUGUUUUUACAAAAGAUAAUUUGAUCAAGCUCUUUAAUUGUAGCAAUUAGCAAAAGAAAAUUGUACUUUUCCUUUUCAAUUCAAGUUUUGAAAUUGAGUAUCUCAACAGUUUAUGUUCUUGAUUGAAAGGUAAUGUAAGUUUUCAUUUUGGCAUUUUGUGCAUGAUCAAUGUAUGUAAUUAAAUCUCUCAUCAAUCUUUCUUAUGUAUUUAGUUUCGAAAACAUGCCUAAUAAUGUAGGCCUUUAUUUUUUCCUAGGAUCAUAUUUCUCAGUACCUUCCUAUUUUGUUACAGGUGGCUGACAUCUGUUGUAGCUGAUAAUACGGAUGAAGACAAUAAUGCGAUAGUCCCAAAACUCCCUGUUGGAGUUUCUGGAACAGCAUUAGCUGCAUCACUUUUGCGAGAUGGGUGGAGUGUGAGUUAUUUGAAUUUUACUUUCAACUCUUGAUCUGUUUUUUCAUUUGAUUUGUCGAAGUUCACACACAUAAAUCCUUUUUUACUGUAUCCUUCUAUCUGUUGAAGUUAGCAAAGAUGUAUGCAAAAUACCAAGAGGCUGUUGAUGCUCUGAGACACGAACAAUUGGGAAGGAAGGAGUCAGAGGCAAUUUUACAACGGGUAUGACUGAUGUGGUCAUCUUUUUAUAUAACAUUGAUAUAAGGGAAUUUGGAGCAAACAUCAUUUAUUAUGUAUUUCUUCAUGUCUGUUUGGUACUAGUUAGUUAUCAUGAAGAAGCAUUUUGAUAAAAUUUGAUCUAAAUUUAAAAAGGUUGAAAUUUUAUCGAAUUAGCCCAAGUUCCUAAUUUCUACCCGCGGAUUCACAGAAUUAGGACAGGUCUGUGUUGGAGUAAGAAAAAAGAAACAAUUCCAUGAGAUUAUAGUGACUAGACUCUUCACAAACUCGGUCCAAAUACAUCAAAUUCCCUUCUUUUCUUCUUCUUAAGCUCGCGCUAAAUACAAUACAAUGAGUACUCUUCAAAUAUAUUUCUCUCUCCGAACUACUCCAACUACCUAACUGUAGUUAUUCUGUUUACAAGGACCUCAUGCACUUUGAUCUCUAGGUUCUUGCUUACCUUUUUUCACUCAACUUUCUGCUGGGAGGUAUAGACUAAUUAAUUGUGUAAGUAUGCAACAUCAGUUUGAAUGUGAUCGUUUUCAUUUCGCCUUCAAUUUGCAUAAAGACCCAAAUGCAAUGUUAGGGACCUGCAGAAGACCCAUGACAUGAUGUUUUUGAUGCAUAUUAAAAAUGAAAUAGAAAUUGACAAUUGUCUAAAAUAAGCAAGUGCAUUUUGUGGCAUUUGUUGUCAGUAUUGUUCACUGUUAUCUAUGAGGUUUUCAUAUUUGUGUCGUUAUAUCAAGUUUAUUAGUACACAUUUAAUUACAAGUAUGUAUAUUUGUUGAAAGAUACUGCAAUCUUCUAUGAAUUUUUUCAGGUUCUGUACGAGUUGGAGGAGAAAGCAGAAGCCAUAGAAGACGAGAGAGGUACAACUCUUUGUUGAGUUGAGUGUGAUUCAGUAAAUAGUUUGCUAAAGAAGAUAUAAUUAAUUCCUGUCCACUUUUUUGUCCUUUUUGUUGUGACCAGGUCCAAUAAGCAAUCAAAAGUUAGAACUGGAUUUAAAUCUUGAUUCUUUUUAAUUACUUUUUAAUUAUAUACCUCCCCUGGUCCUAAUUAUAAGAAAAACCAUUAAACAUUAAAAUACACGAAGUUACUUGUUGUUGUAGUAACUUUUUGGAUGUUUUAAUCUCAAUAUAUCUUCACACGAAAUUGUGAGAUAUUGAAUACUUCCACCAAUAUUAAAAAGAUAUCUUUUAAAUGAGGCUAAAGAUAUCCCCCAUACACCAUAAAUACAUCUUAAAAGUUGUAACUUUUUCUUCUAAACCGAAUCAAAAUUAUCUCCAAUUAUUUUCUGUUUGAUAGAAACUGAGAUUCAUUUUACUAUAUAGAGUGAAUUCAGACACCCAAAGAUGCAUACUAUAGAGGAAAUUCUAUGACUCAUGAAGUGAUAUUUGACCUUUUUCCUUUAGGGGCACUUUUUGUUGUUUCAUAAUCACUGAUUCAGCGUGAAAUGUAGAAUAGAUAUUAGCAAAAUAGUAAGAAUAAAAUAACUAUUAAAUAAAUAUCUUCGUGCUUGAAUUGUACUUUUAUUAUCGUUGUUGUCUAAUAGCAUUAUAUAGAGGGAGCUCAAAUAACUAUUAAGUUUGGUGGGACCUUUUCCUAGACAAAUUUAUCCUUAACAACCCAAUUCUUUUUCAAAAUUUUAAUCUACACCAUAAAUAAAGGGACUCCAAAGCUAAUUAUUAAAAUUUGGUUGACCAUUUAUGUGUUAACUGAUAACAACAACACUUGUUUUUUUCAAAUUUUAAAUUUUGCUUGCACAUGUUGUCACUGUAGACUGAAAGCUAUGCAAGUGUAUUAUCUUUGUCACGUUCGGAGCCAUACCUUUUUUGCUAAAGUUAAUAAUUGGCAAUCAUGCAGUGGAACAUGAAAAAAUGGCUGACGCAUACUCUUUGAUGAACCAAAAAUUGCAACACUCCCUCAAUGAAAAUUCUUACUUGGAGAAAACCAUCCUGGAACUAAAGGUUUGUAUAACGAAAUACAGUUUUAUCUACCGUUUUUUGUUGCAUUUAGAUUUUAUUAGUGCGGAUUUUACAGGCUGACAUCAAAAGGCAUGAACGUGAUUAUAAUCUUGCCCAGAAAGAAAUUGACGACCUUCGAAAACAGGUAAUCUGUAGAGUGUCCUUUUCAUUUUCUAGUAUUUUAAUAUGUUUGUAUAUCCAUUUCAUCAAGCAGUUUGCCUAAGAGCUUAGUUUGGAAUCUUCAUUUUUGUUAUUCUUGUUGCUGUAAUAAUAUGCAUGUUAAUGUAAAUGCCUAGAAGAACUACCAAGCCUAUUCUACAAGGCGGGCUCGGUUACACAAGUCAAUGCAUAUUACUACUUGUACAAACCAAAAUUUCAGUUAGACCACUCAGUCUUUGUUUUAAGUUUCUCUUUCUCCAAUCCAGUCCCAUUUAAUUGGAUUAUGUUCCAUUUGUAUUCUUUUCCCACUUGAGUCAAAUUGGUCUUCUUCUGUCAUGACCAAAUUAUCUUAUUUAUGCAAAUUCGGUGGUUGUUGUUAAUCCUGAUGUUCAGUUUUUGUGCAUUUGUGAUAAAGUGCCAACUUUAUCCCUGAAUCCGGUAUGUGAUUUUGGUGCAACGAAAACUUUCUUUGUAAAGCGACAAAUUUCAGCUUCAACUCAAUGAAAAUGUUGUUUUUCUAGUUCUUGCUUAGCAAGUUUUCUUCUAGUUUGUUAUUGUAACUUCUUGUGCCAACGUAGUUGUCUCUGGAUGACCACCAUCUAAUUCUGUUUGCAUUGUAGUGGCCAUUGCCAUGAUUUUAACUUCACAGCCUCUGGUAUGGGCCAGUUUAUUGACAAACUUUCUUAUAUUUAGAUUUAUUAAAGAAUUUAAUCUGUACAGGUGACAGUACUUUUGAAGGAAUGCCAAGACAUACAAGUUCGUUGUGGGUCUUUUGGUAAUAAUAUCAAUGCGAAUGCAACUAAUAUUGCCUCAAGAACAAGUACAGACACUGAAGCUGAAAACAUCAUAUCAGAGCACCUUGUAAGUUUUUUUUUGAUUUAUUUUAUCUCUUAGUUUUUGAAUUUCUGCAUUUCAUUCUCGCAUGUAAUCAUUUCAAUUUGGGAAUUGAGACACAGUUAACCUUCAAGGACAUUAAUGGACUAGUUGAGCAGAAUGUUCAACUCAGAAGCCUUGUACGCAGUCUCUCUGGACAACUUGAAAAUCAGGAGGUGGAAUUCAAGGUUGGAUAGGAAUUUUGUUUUUGCCCUCCUUAUGCUGCCGAACAUAAAGGCACCUAGAUUAUAUGGUUAUCAUUUUAUACAAUUGAAUUGCAGGAAAAACUUGAAAUGGAACUCAAAAGACAUACUGAAGAAGCUGCUUCUAAAGUUGCGGCUGUUCUGCAGAGAGCGGAAGAGCAAGGACAGAUGAUUGAAUCGCUUCAUGCAUCUGUAAGCAUUUAGUGUUUUUGAUCUUAGGAUCCUGCAGGAAUGUUUAGAACCUUGGGAGGGGGUUGGGGUUUUCUAUAAAAGAGAGGACACUGCAGGUCCUGCUGUGAUAAAAAUACCAGACUUAUAGAACCCUAAAUAUAAUUUAACUAAGUGUUGGUCUGAAUGCUCCAUUUUAUUAUGGCCCCUUCGUUUUCUAGUAUUAUUACUUCUUUUACUUGCGUUUUAUUCUCAUUAUUCGUGCCUCAGAAUUCUUACUUUCAAUUCUUACUUCUUGUAGGUUGCCAUGUAUAAGAGGUUGUAUGAGGAGGAGCAUAGUCUUCAUUUAUCUCACACCCAUUCUUCAGACGCUCUUGCAGGUUACUUAAUUGUUUAUUUGCCGCCUCUGACUCUAAAAUCUGUUCCCUCCCUCCUCACCCCUUCUGGUGCAAUUAAUUUGAAUGGAAAUGGGGCUUGAUGGGAUUGCCAACCUUCAUUCUUCAUCUUUGCUAAAAAGUUGUCAUUUUGUAAACAAUUUUUUUCAAUAAAAGGUUGUAUUUGUGUACAUCCAAUGUAAAUAGAAGGUAACCCAAGUUUCACCAUAGUAAAAGCAAAAAUAAGGCAUAGAAGUCAUGGUGACACACCAUAAGGUUUUUGAUAUCUUUUGUUUCUAUAGAUAUCCAAGUCUUGGGGUCCUUAGGUUUUCAUAAUUGAAUUUGUGAUAUCCGAAUGAAAGUCGAAAGUAAAAACAGCACAUAAUCUCUUCGGAGAACAUCUUAGUUUUAGUCAAUACACCAAAUUGUUCUGCUAUAACUUGCUUCUCUUUGGUGUUUAGGUCAUUCAUGAUUUCUUCAAGGGUUCUUCAAUUAUUGAAAAGACCCUUGUUUUAAUUUUUUACUUGUUAGUGUUACUACCUCCAAUCCAAAAUACAUGACUCAUUUGAAAAAUUUCCUUGUCCCUUUUUACAGGACCCCUUUUAUUUUUCAGCUAUAUUAGUUAUUUCUUUACUAAAUCCUAAACCCUAUCCCUUGUAUUUUUUAACUAUAUUAGUUAUUUCUUUACUAACACACCCUAAUCAUCUGGCAUUUUUUCUUGCAACCAACCAUUAGUACUAUCAUUGGAAUAUAAACUUAUUCUCUCUCUCUUGAAGGAUAAACUUAUAGAAACAAAAUCAAUUGUUAAAAAAUUUAGUAGUGGCUACCAACUAAUCACCUCAAUUUAGGUAACAUAGUUUUAUAUUUAGGGAAAGAGUACUGUGGCAGUAUGUUGUGUAUGUGCACAUAAAGUAUUGCUGUUAUGUUAUGAAAGUUGCGAGUUUGCAUUGAAUGUUAUAAUGUAAAUAAGCUUUUAGUUUUGAAAAUUACCAGCUGGCAUGUUACCUUAUAUUAGUUGUGUCUUGAUUUUUCAGCUGCUGCAGAAAUUGGAAGAAACAACGUCAAGACUUCAAUUGAAAGUUCACAGGUAAAGAUACUGUAACAAUACUUGAAUACAAUUAUAAUCGCAUACUCUUUGUUGAUGAAAAUGCUGCCCAAGUUUAAGCUAUUUGGUGAAGUCUUAUACUCUCCGUGGUCCUAUUUAUAAGAGAAAGUUGACUGUAUACUGUAUAUUAUACAGUCUAGAUACAUUGAUUAUUCAAGAACUUAAAAAGUAAAUUUUCUCUUAUAAAUAGGACCGGAGGUAGUAAAUGAUUUGUAAAUAAUAUGGCACCUUGUAGAGUGCCUGUAGCAACCCCUGCAAAAAUGUAAUUUAUUAGAUCGACAAAUUAACCUCAAAUUUUUUAAAUAAAAAUCCAAACUUAUCCCUGAGAAAAUAUCAAAACUUUAGGUUUUUAUCCGACUUCUCUUUUUUUUUUAUCCAACCUCAUGCUACAACCAUUGUAACUUCCGUGUUUUUUUCCUUUUCCAAAUCAACAUCAUUUUCAAUAUUAUUUUUUCACGGCAACUUCAUUAUUUUCAUUAUUAUGACUCUACCUUCUUUCAUGUGUUUAUUUUGUAUUCUUUAUUGUUGUUUUGUUCCUUGAGUUUCAUACCAUGACUCAUUUUUUCAUGUUUUUUUUUUCAUUUGUAUUUUAUUUGAAACAUUGAAUAUUGUGUUUGAGUUGUUUAUGAAUGGACAAAUUUCUCUUUGGGAAAAUAUACUCAAAACUGUUGAUACGCAGGACUAUUUUACUUAAUAUGAAUGUUGUAGAAUUUUAACUAUAAAAGGAUAAAUUUGUUUUAAAAUCCCUCCCUUCCCCUUGUGAACAACCAUAUAUUUAAUUAAAAUCCUUUUUCUCCACUCCUCUCCCUUCUUUUGAACCUAACACAUUUAAUUAAAAUACCUCCCCUCUCAUUCCCUCCCUUCCCUAUCUCUUCGAUUAAAAUUCUUCCCCUCCCCCUCCUGUUGAACCAAACAGACCCUUAACGGUGCUCUUGUGUGUGCUAUUUUGACUAUCCUUUGUGUAAUUUUAACAACAUACAUAAAAAAACUUAGCUAAGCCGUGAAGAAAGCGAACAUGAUGACUGGGAAAAGCUAUAAUAUAGUUAUUCUAUUUAAGGAAUCACUUGUUUUAAUUUUAAAUGCUUAGAUGAGUUAUUUUAAGCCUUGGAGGUUACAACUUAUUUGGUUUAAAUAUCAGAAACAACGAAAUCGAUUAAUUAUUAUUAACAUAUGUUCAUGUUUGUGCGUUCUUCUGUCUGAACUUUCAUGUGUAUUAUAAAUUUCUUGUUUUAUUUCCCAUCUUAGAAUUUGGGUUGGGCCUAACUCAUCCCUACAAAACCGGCUUGUAAGGUGAGGGUUGCCCCCACUUAUAAAUGCAACACUAGUCAUAUCUCUUAGCAAUGUGGGACUAAAUCUACCCCUUCAUAGCUAACACAAUGAAGGUGUUAGGGGCUACAAUGAAGACAAGCCAAAGUGCCGCAAUUAAGUCGACUAGAGGCGGACCACAAUUAAGGCGGAAAGUCCAACAGUACCUUAUGUCAAAUCUGAACUUUUUUAUAUUAUUUAUAAUACUAGGAUGUGAGUGUUUUAGGUUUGUCUGAUCUUUUUCUUAUUUUAUGAUUAUUCCUCUUUCUUAUUGUAUACUUCUUUGUUUGAAAAUUGAAAUUAUUGUGAUGUAACCUAUCAAAUGUUUUUUUGUUACAAUAAUUUGUCAGAUUAUUAGUUGUAACCUUUUCAUGGUAUGUAUCGAUCCAAUGAUGGGCCGUAUAUUUAACAUUUAUAUAUAUAUUUUUUGUUUUCAUUAUUAUAGGAAGCUGCUAAGAAGUCUCUUGAAAAAGCUGCAGAGCGUGUAAGAUGUCUUGAGGAUGAUUUAGCAAAGUCUAGGUAAGGUUUUACUAAAUUGAUAUGAUAUUUUUUAUUGUUGUUUAUUAUGUAUUUUACUAUAAGUCUAUUGCCUCAUAACUACUACUUAGGACAUAUUGAGACUAAGCACAUCCCUUGACAUCCAGCAUAAUGAGGUGCCUGAGGCUGCAAUGAAGAUAGCCCCAAAAUUACUGAUAUAAAAGUGGCCAAAUGCGGACUGCAAUUGAUGUGGUUUUUCAACUUACAUUUUCAUGCGCAACAGUAGAUCCUUGAUAUGCUCUAAUACUACCCUAUAAUUUGUGUUAAGGGUCUAACGCAACCUCACAAAAUUUGAUUUGGGAUAAACAUACCCCUUCACACCUAACACAAUGAAGGUGCUGAAGGCUGCAUUGAAAGCCCAAAUUUGCCACGAUUAAGGCAGCUAGGAGCAGGGCUGGCUUUAAGAUGGCUAUCCAACAUUUUAAUACUGUUCCUAGUUACUAUCAUGUAGUUUGCAAUAGCCAAAUGACCAGAAAUAUCCUGUUUGUGUCCUAAAUUUUUUAUUUUUUCCAGUGAAAAAGAGAGACUAGGAUUUGGAGUUCUCUUCUAUUAGUAGAAAUAAGGGGUAGAGUUUGUCCCUCUCAAUAGCAUUGCUCAGUAUAAUAUUAUAAUUGGCUGAAACUUAGAAAUAUUCUAAUACUACUAAAUUAAGAACAUUAAGUUAUACUGGUUACUUAUGGCUACUUGGUGCUUCAAAUUUCCUAUUAUGCACAUCGGCUUCAAAUUUUCUAUUAUGCACAUUCACUAUGUAGUUCUAUAGUGGGUUGCCUUUUUUCAUGUGUCAGCAAUUUCUAUUUCUAUACAAUUAUGCCUCUUGUUGGUUAAUAGUGUUCAAAACUUAUUUUCAUUGAGUAUUUCUUUUGAUACAUUGAUUGAAUAGUAUAGAUGGCCUAAAGAGAAACUAUAGAACAGUUUCCCAGGUAUCCAGUGUUAUAUUUGUUCAACUAAAAUAACUGAACUAGUUAAUGAUCCAGGUUUACAUUACAUGUAUAAUGUAUCACUCAUAGUUGUUGAUGUAACAAUAUUUUUAAAUUUUCUGACCAUCUUUGCUAAUCCAAUGUUAGAUAUUGUGUGUGUGCUUGUCAAACCUAUAAGACCCUUUUAUAUUAAUCCCAUUCUUUUAAUGAUUCUUUGGAUUAUCAAAAGUUCAUGAUCCAUCUACUACUCUUGCUUUCUUUUUAGCUUCAUAGCUAAUUUCUUAGGCUGAACUUUUGCGUGUUUUCAGGAGCGAGAUUAUUGUAUUACGAUCAGAACGUGAUCCAUCUACUACCCUUGCUUUCUUUUUAGCUUCAUAGCUAAUUUUUUAGGCUGAACUUUUGCGUAUUUUCAGGAGCGAGAUUAUUGUAUUACGAUCAGAACGUGACAAAAUGGAACUAGAAGCAAAUUUUGUUAGAGAGCGGCUCGAUAGCUUUACGAAGGAAUUUGAUUUCCAGGCAAUUACUUUCUGUGAUAUCAAGUGUUUUGUUCAUGCACACCUGUAUUGUACUAAUUUAUGAACUUUUUUGAGAAUAUAGAAAGCUGAAGCAAAAGGCAUUUUAGCAAGAAAUGUAGAGUUUUCUCAGCUAGUUGUCGACUACCAACGAAAAUUGCGGGAGAGUUCAGAGUCAUUGAAUGCUGCUGAGGAGCUCUCUCGGAGACUCUCUAUGGAGGUUGAGAUUUUCUUGAAGUUAAAAAUGUUUCUGAUUACAUUUUUGUGAACUUUGAACAAAGAUAUAUUCUUUCCUUAAUGAACUCAUUUUCUGUUGUUAUUUCAGUUGUCUGCUUUAAAGAAUGAAAAGGAAGUCUUAUCAAAUGCCGAAAAGAGAGCAUCUGAUGAGGUUCGCAAUUUAUCUGAAAGGGUGUACCGCUUGCAGGUCAGGAUUAUUCCUUAUUUAAUACUUAUAUUUCUCAAAUUUUGCAUAUUCUUACUCUUUCCAUUCUAGGCUACAUUGGGUACCAUACAGAGUGCUGAAGAAGUUCGAGAGGUAGAUUAUUCUCCUCAAUGUGUUACGUUAUUACUUUUCCAAUACUUUCUUUAUGGAAGUUCUAUCUGUUUUCUAAUAUGUAGGAAGCAAGAGUUGCAGAGAGGGUAAAACAAGAAGAACAUUCAAAGCAAUUGGAGGUGAGUUUUCUUCUUUCUUGGGAAUAUUCUCUAUUUACCGGUGAAUAUUCUCUAUUGCGAGUCCCAUUAUUGUGCUGUGUUUCACGGGUCUCUGCUUCUGAUUUUCUGGCGAGUUGGUUUUCCAACUUUUUUCUUCUACUGUCUGUGUUCAUGUUCUCCUCCAGCGUGUUCAUUCCGUUGGUCGUCACCCGUCAUCACCAUGCUUCAACUAGCUGCACAUUCUAAAUUCUAAAUCUAUAUCAAAAGAUUAUUAAAUAAACAAAGACAUUUUAUGAUGUCUACAAUCUCUCAUGCUACACACUUGUUGAUUCUCAGUUAUAUUUAUUUUAUAUCAAUCACUCAUUUCGUGUCCUAUAUAGCUUUUAAAGUUCCUGUAUCCCCACGUCCAUGAUGUAUCAUUCCUUUCCUGAUGUUGAACACAUGCUUUUAUAGUACAUAUUCGGCAUUUUUUAUUGCUAUUGUUUUAUCUCAGAGGGAAUGGGCUGAAGCCAAGAAAGAGUUACAGGAAGAGAGAGAAAAUGUGCGGAGACUUGCUCUUGAUCGAGACCAGACCAUGAAAAAUUCUCUGAGACAGGUUGAGGAUAUGAGCAAAGAGUUAACUAAUGCACUGGGUGCACUUGCAUCUGCAGAAUCUAGGGCUGCUGUGGCUGAGGUAUUUUUUUGGUUGCUCUCUUUUGUAUGCUUUAUUUUUAUUGUUAUUAAUUGUUCUACUUGUAAAGAAACAUUGGUCUCUAUGCACAGGCAAAACUCUCAAGUAUUCAAAAACAAAUGGGUUCCACAGAUGGGAAGGUUUGUUUUAUUAGUAUUGUUAUGAAUAUCUUUCUACCACGUUUCCCCUUUUCAAAUAUCUGAGGAUCAUUUUGGUUUUUUGAGUUCCUUUUUGUUUAGAAAAUGGAAACGUCAUUAGUUGCGAACUUGCGAUGGUAUGGUUAAAUAAAUAUAAUGAAAAACUUGUAACGUGAUAGUGCGAGACUUUUUAAUUUCCAACACUCCCCCUCAAAUCUAAACGGGACUCUUAUUUUCUUUUACCCGUUUGAGACUUGAAAAGUUUUUUUAUUCUUUUUAUGGGCUUGUCCUCAAUGGCCAUUUGGCUACCGGUACCCUCUUUUUCUUUUCAUAAACCUGUUAUUGAGUCUCAAGGCCCAGCCCAGUAGUUUUUUUGUUAGCUAGGGGAUUUGACUCUGAUACCAAUUGGGGAUUAUUGCGCAGUCCGAAUAGUGUUGUAUAUUAGUUUACUUUGUGUUCUUAAGUGUGGAAGCCCAUAGCCAAAAGUUCAAAUCAAUGGACUCAAGUGUUGGACUCAAGCUCUCUACCACUUAUAAACACUUUCAUUUUCUUUGUUUCCCUCCUAUGUGGGACUUAGUUCCAACAUAUAUUAAUUGGUGUUUAAUUAGAUUUUCCACUGUCGCUUUCUUGCAAACUAUGUUAUUUUCUUCUCCCGUUAAUUCUAACACCUUGUAUUACUGAAUACAGCUUGUCAAUAUGGAUUCAGUGAGUGGACCUUCCAUUUUAUCAAAUGAUGAGGUGGGCGUGCAUUUAUAUAUCUUGAUUUCACCUCUACUGCAAUGCAUUUGCUUGUGCCAUUUUUUAUGAAAUAAACCAAUAUUUUCUGUUAUUAAAGUGCACUGUGUUCAGUUGAAUAUAUACUGUAGGUAAGUGAAAACCCUGUUGCUUAGUCUAUUUGGGGUGAAGCCUCCUUCUGUUUACUUGUGAAUAAAAUUUGGGUGACUUCCUCACCCUCUUUGGAAAGUUAAUACCUACAAAUAACAGUAACACGAUGUGGACUACCCGCUAAUACUUCCUUCCGCUUAUUUACAAAUAACAAUUGAUAUAUUUUAAUGGUUGAUUUUUCUAUCUAGGAUGAGACAGAUAAAGAUCCCGUCAAUAUUUUAAAUCUAAACUGAAGAAUUAACUGCCCGGUUAUAUGAGUUAUAAAUAUUUGUUACUAUAAAGUAGGAGGUAUCAUAUAAAACAAAAUCACGCAGUAGUAUUUAUUUGGCAGAUUCAAAGCAAAUUCAUGUAGUAUUUCAACUUCCAAGCAUUUUGCUCGUGAUAGCAAAAGGCUUGAAUUGAUAGGCUUUGAGCUUGAAGACUCUACUAAGCUACGUGUGCUUUGAGAUUAUGAACUUUGAGCUUUAGAGGAUAUUAAUCAUAGCUAUUAUGUUUUUCCAUUCAUUUAUAGUUGUGCAGGAAGAUUAUAUGAUUUAUGCAAAUAUGGAUUUAAAAGAAAAUGGUUUCCAACAAAUUAUAAUAUCUUAAAAAAUGCAAGGCCUAAUAACUGAGGUUGUAGUCAGCGAAGGAUACAUAAUGUAAAUUACUUGGGGCAAGGUCAUAUAUACCAUAAAUUGAUAUAAUAAUACAUGUUUAACUAUCAAUAAAAUGAAAAAUUAUUAAACGACUUUUACUAAAAUUAAAUAAUUAACUUAACUUCCGUCUGUCCCUGGUUGUGUUAGCUUUGAAGGAGUGGAUUUAGUCCCACAUUGCCUGGAGAUAUUGCCUGUGUUGUGUUUAUAAAUGGAGGCAAUUCUCACCUUACAAGCUGGUUUUGUAGGGAUGAGUUAGGCCCAACCCAAAUUCUGAGAACAAGUUUUACCGAAAAGUUGAUUAGACAAAGUAUGUCCAUAGUGGUCCAAGUGAUUGUUUUUGUAUGGACAUGAAUGUUCUAUUUAUAUAGCACGUCAUCAACUAGAAAAGUCUUCGAUUGUUACACUGUUGCACAGGGCUUAUAAUCGGAAUGAAAGUUUUUCUUAUUUAUUUCUUGACGUGUGUGAAUUCUCCCAAGAUAAAGCAAAUUUAAAUUUUCCUUUUUUACAUUUAAAUUUUUCUACAGUGCAUUGGAAUGUUGGACUUGUGUUGCAUUUCUGUUUGACAUUUACUUUCUUAACCUGCUCUAGGUCACUGCUGAAUUGCAAACAGCAAAAGAAGAGAUUGAGAAACUGAAAGAAGAAGUACAUGCUAACAAAGCACACAUGCUGCAGGUUAUCAAUUUAUUCUUUUCAAUCAUUUGAUUUUAAAAUUUUAACUAAACUAACUGCCUCUUUACAUUUUACAUUGAAGUAUAAAAGCAUUGCUGAGGUGAAUGAAGAUGCACUGAAACAAAUAGAAAGUACACAUGAGGACUACAAGAUAGAGGUACUCUAGCAUGGCUGAAUCUUGAAAUGUAUUUCAAUGCCAUUUGUUGUUUUUCAAAAUAGGCUUAAUUGUAUUUUUAGCCCAUCUAUUAUUGCUAGAAUUUCUGGCCCUUAAACAUUUCAGAUCAAAAUUAGUUCCUCAACUUUUAAAUUGAUAAAAUCAAGUCUUCUCCAUCACCUUCCUUUUUCCUAAUAUUAAAAUUGUCAACUUCUCUCAAUCUGUUCAAAAUUUUCACAUAUUAAAUCAAUGAAAUUGUAAACCUUCUCUACUAAAAAACACACCAAUCAAUCCAGUGAAUUUCACUGAAAAGUAAAAACAAAAAUACAAAUUCCAGUCCUCAAAACCUAACAACACAUUUUACAAAAACUCUAAAAGUUAUCAAAAUUUCAUUGUACUAUACAAAUUAUUUUAUGACUCAACUCUCUCACUGUACUACUACUAGGGCUAUAUUUUCUAAACUUUUGAAUUAAAGGGGCGUUGGUUAGUUUGAAAAAACUAGAGCCACAGCAAUCCCACACUCCAAACUUGGAGGCCUAAAAGUCUAAUUAAACCUGCUAAUUAUAUUUUGUUUGUAAACACAUUUAGGUUGACAAUACAAAGAAAGCUCUAGAAGCUGAACUGCAUUCACUUAGAGAGAAGGUUUCAGAGCUUGAAAAGGAAUCUAGUUUGAAAUCUGAAGAGGCGGUAUCUGCAACUACUGGAAAGGAAGAGGCUCUGACAUCUGCUUUGGCUGAGAUAACAAAUCUUAAAGAAGAAAUUUUAACCAAAACGUACGUUUUAUCUUUGUACUGCAUUGAUAAUUUUACCCCUUCUUUGGCUAGAUGUAACUAACAUUUUAUGCAUACAGUUCUCAAAUUUCAGAGAUGGAAAUUCAGAUGUCUGGUUUAAAGGAACACCUAGACAAGGAGCAUCAGAAAUGGCGUUCUGCUCAAACGAAUUACGAAAGACAAGUUAGUACACAUUUUUUCUUUAGAUAGUAUUGGAGUUGUUUGUUUGAUUUGGUUGGUUAUCUCGGAUGCUGGACUGCUGAUGCUAUUUGUGACUACUAUUUAAAUUCAAGUAGCUGGAAAAUAACGAACCUUACUUUGGCUUAUCAUUAGUUAUUUAGGAGUGUCGACUGCUUUCCUGCAUCGAUUUUUUAUUUAUGGGUUUAUUUUCUGUCUUGGUCUCCAAUUUUGUGUAGUUUGAUCCACUUUCACUGAUGUAGUUUAUCCUUGUAUCAGAAAUGUGUAAAUAAAGUUGGUCUUCUUAAUAUGCCUGUGUGCUUAUUCAUUAAUGUGGUAAUGAAAGUGGGUGUGAUGUGCUGUUUCUCUUAAAAUAUGUAAAGGAAGCUUUUUCUCUAUUUGCACUCUUUUUUUACGCCCAUUUCUCCAUCUGGGAGUCUUUGUAUUGCUUAAAUGCGGGUAAUCUUUCGUAGCUCCUUUAUCAUCAAAGCUUACACACAUAUAUUUGACCUCUAUCAUGCCAUAAUUACAUGCAAAUAUCUUAUUGAUUCUUUUGAUAUUUUUCCUUAUGACUUUCAAGCUUAAUCCUCCUAUUAUUUUUCCCUUCUGGAUUUCUUGUCUCUGAUGAUUUUGCAAUAUUGGAGUCUUAAGUGGGGAUGGCAUACCCAAAAAUUAGCAUCAUGUUUUUUUAUCAUUUGUUAUGUUUUAUUCUAUUUUGCUAAUUUACCACUUUGUUUUCAUAUAUAUAUAUAUAUAUACACAUAUAUAAUAUAUAUAUAUGACGAAUACAUGUUAUUCCAUGACUUCUUUCUACUGCAAUUGCUUGUUUGUUCAGACAAAUAUUGCAACUUCGGAAUAUUUGAUUUCUUUUCCCUGCUUCUAAUCUUUGAUGAUUUGUAUUUCUCAGGUUGUUCUCCAGUCUGAGACUAUUCAGGAGUUGACUAAAACAUCUGAAUUACUAGCCUCGCUGCAGGAGGAGGCAUCUAAAUUACGUAAAUUAACUGAUGUUCAGAAAAUUGAAAAUGUAAGAUUUCCUAUCAAUUUAAUAUUUAAGUUUACUAUUUGUUUCAUUUUCAAUACAUGAGUACACUAUAUUUUAAUUAUGUCUCUCUGUUAAGUUCAGAAAUUCAUUGUGGUGUCUGAAACCCAUGAAAGAAUCUGUACGUUAAAUAUCAGUGAUUUUUCUCGAUGAAAUGUUUGAAUAAUGUUACCUGAGGUUUUAUACCCAUAUUUGGCUUCCAAAUGGAAUAAGUGGGCAUAGUUUCAGAUUGCACAUCAGUGGUAUUGGCUAACAAUUUUGCGAGUUUGUCAAGCUGAAUUGAAAGGGGCCUUAAUAAAUUGCUUAGGUGGCACACCACUGAAUGCAUCUUAGGAAGUAGUGAUAGCUUUAUUGCUCCGUUGUAAAUUGCAUCUUUUAUUUAUUUUCCUUGUAAUUUCCCAGUAUAUAAAUUAAGCAAGUAUGCUGCAAAGUAUAUAAAGGAAGUAAAUUGCAUCUUUUUAUCUUUCUCAUUCUGAAAUAAUUGUUUGUCCCAGUUAUUGUGCAAUAUUCUCAUGCUAUUGAUUUUACAUGACUUUGGUUUGCAUCAAUCUAUGAUGUGAAAAUAUAAUGAAACAUUAUUGGAUAGGUGUUUAAAACAUGUUUUCAAUGUGAUUGAUUGUUGUUUACUUAAUCAAAGAAACGUUGUUCUUUUCUUUAGAAACAAAUUGCCUUGUUAACAAAGUGGGUCAUUAAAUAUUUGUUACCAACUUACCAUU